CACCAACUAUUUAAAAUAUAUGAAACAACAAUUGUACUCUAAAAACUUAAGCUAAUAAAAAAUUAUUCUUAAAUAUUUUUAUAUUAAACACUCCCACUCAUGUUUGAGCUCAAGAUUUAUUUGUAGGUUCAUGACGUGAACUUGAAUUAAAUAAAAAAAAAUCAAAAAUUAAUAACAUUAGGAGCUUAUUAUGACUCGAACUAACUGUAUUUACUUCAAGAUUGGUCAUCUACUGCGCCAAACAAACAUGUAAUAUUUAAAUGUAAUCAUGAAUUUUUGGUGCAAUAAUUAAUUCAGAGUUUUAUAUGUCUUUUAAGAGGUGUAGGCAGUUUGAAGUAAUCAAUAAUUUUCAUGUAGUGAGACGUCUCAUAAAUAACUAGCUAUAUAUCUAGCUAGUUUUUUUAAAAAGAAAAUUAAUAUGUUAUCUUCUUUAUUAUUCUUUUUGAAUAUAUAUAUUUUUUUUGAGAAAAAAGUAACAUGCUACCCAUUUCAUUCAUUGGAAUAGUAAACUAAACUACAUGGAUGAGGCAACACGAGCCUCGAAGGGGGCGAAAAAAAAAAUCUACCGGUUACAGUGUUACUUAUCUACUGAAAGAAAUUGCUUUCAUUCAUUCAUUAGUUUUUUAAUUUUGAAUUAAACAUAGCUGAAAAAUGUGAAGCAGUGAACUUAAUUAAGAGUUGGGACCUCAGAUCGAUAAGAACCGUUAAGUCUAUUGCCAUUUGUAUUAGAAACGAUGGAUAACUAGCUAGCAAGUUGAAGGAACUAUAUAUUGGAGAGAGUGAAUCUAAUAAUCCAUUUUGUAAAAGUAAACAGAAGCUUAAUUCUGAAUAUUCUAUGAGAGAGAGAGAGAAAAGGGAUGGGUAUAUCAUAUAUGCAUGUAUGUAUGCAUGUAUAUGUCCUAGGGAUUAUCGAAAGAGGUGGGUGAAGUUACGUAGGGGAUAUGCAUAACCAGCUUUCAAAAAGUUUUUGUGGGAAGUUAAUUUUAUACAUUGCAUGUGAGCUGCAGGUUAGGAAUACGAUACAUCCCAAUUGCCUGCUAAUAAAGACUGCUCCACCUUUCUCUCUCUCUCUCUCUCUCUCUCUCUCUCUUUUCUUUUCCAUCUUUCUUUAUUCCCCAUUCACCUUUCACCAUCUCACAAAUCUAAAAGCACUCCCUCUCUCUUCUAUUCUUAUCUCAACAAACAAAUAAUAAUACUAUUAAGUUUCACUUAUUGUGAGAUCUUAAUUAAGUUCAAAACCUAAAUGAUGAACAAAACGAUAGCAUACUAUCAUGCAUUCUUUCUCCAAAAAAAGAAAAAAAAAGAAACACUAUUAUUUCUCUCCUAUUGCCAUCUCAACAAACAAACAACACUAUAUAUUAAUUACUAAAGUUUGAUCUUUUUUAUUUUAUUUUAAUAAGAAUCAAAAGCUCAACCUCCCAGAGUAUUAUAUACUCACAGUCCUUUCAUCUCGUAUUCAAAUUCAUAUAUAACCCCUCUCCAAUCCCGAUUCAGAUACUCUAUCAUUGAAAUACCAAUUGUUUGGCUUUUAAAUUUUGACAUACCUAUUUGUUGAAACCCCGAAGGAAAACUAAUUAAGAUGCUAUUUUAUGACAACUCUGAAAGAGAAAUUGAGUGAAUUAAUUAAGAAGCUGUGACGAUAAGAAAAGGGAGAGCAUAUUUUGAAGUUGUGACCAUAAGAAAAGGGAGAGCAUAUUUUGAAGCUGUGACCAUAAGAAAAGGGAGAGCAUAUUUUAAAUGGUUAAUUAGAAGGUGCGAAUUAAUUAAAUAAUUAAUGGGGCCACAGUUAUUAAAUAACAAUUUUCUUUUUUCUUAGCAAAUUAACCAGCAAUGUGUACCUGAUCAUAUGAUCUCUAGGAAGUACAAAUUUCUUUGAUUACUUUGCAGGUAAUUAUUCUCUUAUUAAACAAAAGGUGAACCUUUUAGCCCCCUAUCAUAUCAAAGAGGCGAAGUCCCAUUGUUCUAUUUUGAUUUUGCAGAUUCCAUUAUUGGGAAGUAAUUUGACUCCUUUCCAAUUAUAAAGGAGUUAUUGAUGACAUGUAGCCAUGUAGCCAAAUUCAUAGAGGUAAAUUAAUUAAUAAUUUUUACAUCAUAUAUAUAUUUAAGAGUAAUACCGUAAACGUACUAAUAAAUAUUACAACGCUUUACAAACUAGUAUACAUGAGUAACAAGAUGACAUUUAAUUAGUGGAGAAGUACAAAUUACAAAAAGGCAAGUAUGAUUUAAAAUUUCAAAGUUGAAAUCUAUCCAUUGAGUUGUAUAAUUUGUAUAUACAACGUUGUAAGAUUUAUUAAUAAGCAAAACAUAAUUAAGAUAGCUGAAGAAGUUGGUUGUAUUGGGUCACUGUUGGUGGAUCCACUUAAAGAUUUAUUUGGAUUCAUGAGAGAAUUAUAGAGUUGGUUUCUUAUGAUGAAUUGGGAGACGUAGUGGUCCAAAGCUCUCAUGGGGGCUUCAUUCAUAUUCCCCUUACCAUGCGCUUUAAAGAAUUUGAAGUGCGUGAUGGGUAGCAUACCAAGGAAUGGUUUCCUCGAGAUUUACACCGAGGCAAAAAAUUGGUCAGACCCCAACGUUGGUGGAAAGGUCCCUGCAUGGGAUGCCCAUAGACCCACCCAAACACCUUUUGUUUCUCAAGUUUGUGAAACAUACCAAACAAAGUGUACUGUAUACAAUAUAUUUAACUCACUGUAGGUGAUUUUUUUGUCAAUCACCUAUUAAGUCACUGUAAAUAAAGGUUCAUGUACAUCAUGCACUCUACUGAAGGAAAAAAAAAAAAAAAAAAAAUCAGAGAUGUAAAUGUACAUUCCCUUCAAAAAUUGACAGUAAAUCGUACGCGGUUGAAGAUGAAUUCAAAUUAGGCAGGAAAGAUUUUAGUAAAUUACAACAUGCUGCGCGUAAACAUGGUCCAUGUCACGCGAAUACAUAUAAAAUUGGUCGAUAAAAAUACACAAUUUCAAGGAUAGCUGAUUCUGCGUCUUUGAUAUUACAUGUCAUAGUUGAGGUAAACAGAGAGUUCCAUAAAGAUAGUAGGUACACAGACAGAAUCAAGAAGCAUUUUAGUUGGCGCACAACGAACCAAUCAAUUACUAAAAUUAUAGUUGCAGAUAGAGAAUUUCAUCUUCUUUCAAGGUGUACUUCAGGUAUUUGGCCAUAAAUUGGGAACUAGCAAACAGGAUUAUCGGGGCAACACGGUCAUGACCUGGUAUUUGUGGAGAUGAAAAUCUGUUAUUUUUUCUCGGGAGUAGUCGCAAACUGCCAUGCAUGUGCUGCCAUGUGUCCAUAGGUUCUAGGACCCGCUACCUCAUCAGUAGAUAGCAUAUCUGAAAUCUCUUUCAAGUCAUCCUCGCUGAGCUUCACGCUUAAUGAGCCUAUGUUAUCAUCAAGGUUCUUCACCUUCGUUGUCCCUAAAGAUCACAAAAGAAAGAGAAUCAGAUUAACAAAAACAAAACUAUCUAAACAGUGUUGGAAGAUGCUAUAUACAACUCGGUUAACUCUUGUGUCUGUGGUUUGUAAACAAGCACUGUUUUCUACUUCCUCAUCGUUCUUUUAGCAUACUACUCUUUUGUGAUUCAAAGUACACUUGUAAAUAAAUUCGACCCUUGAUAUAAUUAUAAGGUUAUUUGUGUUGAUAUAAUUAUACGGUUAUUUGUGCAUAAAAGAAAUCUCUCUCCCAAACACAGAGACAGACAGAUUUAUAAAGUUAUUUUAGUAUAAAGCUGUUUAUGGAGGCAGGGCUCGUUCCACCAAGAUCUACACUUGUAUAUGCCUCUGUUCAAAGAUGCUGAUCUGUACAGAUAUUUGAAUAAUCAAGGUUAAAGCUCGACUGAUCAAGCUUUUUUCAUAGUGUCCGUUUCUAAGUUCUGUAGUAAUAGUUGAGCAACUGAGGGUUGGGCUCGAUUCCUAGAGGAUUGCUCUUCCUAAAAAUUCUGAACUAUCUUUGACUUACUGUGGAAAAUAGGAUCUUGAGGCUAUAAAUAAAUCUCCUACGGACGUCUAGCAACUAUAGUAAGGACUCUUUCUAAGAUUUUUAAGAAUCCUGUGGGAGAAUUUUGCUGGAAGAAAACUUUUGUUUCCACUGGGAUUUUCUUGCAACUUACCAUAAAUUAUACCUUUUUGGGCUUCCUGUAUCAAAACUCUCUUGGAAAACCACUUCAUUACUUUCCCACUCAUGAAUUCCACCGGAAAUAGAUUUGAAUAGCCUUAAUGGAUUCAAAGAAGAGGUAAUCUUCUCGGUUCUACUCGUACAAAAAUUGAAAGAUGCAAGCUAAGUUCAAGAGCCCACAAUUUUUCUGUGUUCUCAGAGCCAUUCAACAGCCAUGUCUAAGCUUUAUAUCUUGAACAAUGGUUAUCCUACACAAUGUAGUAUUGAAAUUUAAUUUUCUGAUGAAGAAUUUUCCACAUAACAAAAAAUCUCUCACUGUAACUUAUAAUUGCUUACAUUUGUGGUAUCAAUACACUAAACAUCCCAGAUUAAUCUAAAAACAUUUCAGCUUCUAUAUUAGAGACAUAUUAUUUGUCAUCAUCAUAUCCUAAUUGUGUGGCAUCAUGCUCUGUUAAGACAAUCAAACCAUGUAAACCGCCUUUCUUUCUCAAGAAGAUCAUACCAUGUAACAGAUACAGCAACAAAAAAGUGAACGUAGAGCCAAGAUUGCAAAGAACUGAGAGGAACUUGUAAUGGACAAUAGGUCAAAAUACUCAAAGGCAGAAGAUAAGUCCAUAACCAUGAAGAUCCAUGUGAAAGCAGAUGUAGUAUUAAUAAAAGUUCAAAAGCUCAAUAAUUAUGAAAUGCUGGCUUUGGUAACAAAAUAGAUAAGUUAAAAGGAGUGAGAGGUAUAGCAAAGCUAGUCAUUACUUGGACAAACACAUGAAUUGAAAUAGAUGAACUAUUAACUGAUAAAGAACUGAUUAUUAAGAUAUAUUGUGCAAAUGAAACAUCAUUAUCGCAUUUAACCAAAUCUUACAUAAGUAGAAUCAUAGAAUUUGUAAGUAUUCAAGAUCAAGGAGCUAAACAUAUAGAGAAACUGCAAGAGAAACAACUACAGCCUUUAUGACAUCCAGGAACAAGGAGAAAGAAGAGAGCUAUUUGUCUAGUAACUCCCAAGUAAACUAUAACAGCCAUGUACUUCUCUAAAUCAUGCAUUUUUAAAAAAAGGGUUGGCAUCUAGAUGAUACCUAAUGCCUCCAAUUUUGUAUUACAACUAAGUGAAAAUUCUCAGACCAUUAGUAAGUAUUCUAACUGUCAGUUUGUUCUUCGUUUAGUUUACUAAUCUUAAUAGACAUGAUUUACCCAAGGGACUAUGAUGAUGAAUGAAUAUGUUGUUCAACGUCUCCAUUCUCCAAUCAAGAAGCAUGUAUGGUCAACAGAAGCAUCAGGAGAUAUCUACAAUGCAAUGAAUACAAUCAUCCAUUCCUUUCCCACUCCCCCCUGAACUCACUGCUUAGGUGGAGUGCGCAAUCCUAAAAAUCAUGAUUAUAAGAAUCUAGCUUUGGACUAUACUCAAACUUCUUGGUUGCAAUUAAAAAAAAAAAAUCCCAACACAUCACAACUUAUAGCUAUUUUGACAUCCCCACACAGGCCACAAAAUACUGAGCUAAUUCGACUUCUAAGUUAGGCAGGUAGAGCAUUUCAAAAUUUUUAGAGUAAAAUGAAUAAUACAAAUGAGCGGACUCAAAACUCCUAUACUAUAUUUUCUUUGUAUAAUCAAAGGUUUUUACAACAAGCUAAAUAAGCAAUAGAAAAACUUCAUAUUUCAAACUCCUUACCAGGGAUUGGGACCACAUCAUCUCCUUGGUGAAAAACCCAAGCUAGAGCAAGCUGAGCAGGGGUGCAAUGAUGUUUCACUGACAAUUUCUCUAGUCGUGCAUAUAAAAUCUUGUUCUUUUCUAGGUUCUCUCCAACGAACCUAGGAUGUGAAUUCUACAAACAAUGUAGCAUGAUGUGAAUUUUCAGAUACAAAUCUUCAGCAAGAGACAUUAAGAAUUGAUGGAAUGAAUUUCUAUACCAAGAAACUUUCUGAGGGUAUAUUCUCUACAACUGCUUUUCCACCAAAGAACCCGCGACCAAGAGGACUGUAAGGAACAACCCCAAUUCCAAGUUCCCUGAAAUCAAAUUAGCCAUUUUAGAAAACAAAGACAUUAUGGGGCAUCCAAUAAUGUUGUGGAGUGAUUCAUGAACAGGACUUGGAAGGAAAUAGAUUUUUGAAGAGUUAAACUGCUGUCCUUGAAGAAGGUUUAUAAUCUUCAAAAGAGUUUAUUGUUUCUCAUGCUACACCACUCCAGAAUAAACAAUUCUUGCACCAGGACAACUAGAAAGUUCUUCGAAGAAGCAACAAGGGGAAGCCAAAGUAUCAAUUUUCUUAUUCUGCCAGAAGGGGAAGCCACAAUCCUUUUCUUUUCUCGCAUGUGAUCAAACUGAAAUAUUUUAUAUACACAUAAUUACUAGGCCAACUAAAUGAUCUUUUAGACCCAUAAACUGAAAAGGGACCAUACAUUGUCUCAAACCUAAAUUAGUUCCAAUCUGGAAAAUGUUAGAAACAUGCAUUAGUAAAGAAGAACUGGAUAUAAGUGGUAUCACGAAGGAAACUUGCGCCCAAUCAGACACCAAUUAGGAUAUUACUUGGUACUUGAAGCCCGCUGCAGCUUAAAAGUUAAGCAUGCAGAAUUGGCACAACAAAAUAUAUCAAUCUUCUACACAAUAACCAUACUCUUCGUGGUACUUAGGUGUAAGCACUUGAGGCCCCAUGGUUAAGGCCUAUUUUACUAAAUUUCAAAUACUAGGAGGCUAGUUGGGUUUAUAUGAAGCUACCGUUCUCUAACAGCCCUACAUCGUUUUAAAAAGAAAAUUUUCACCAUAGAUUCUUAGGGAGCAGCGCUAUUUCCGUAAUACAUAUAUAUGAUCCUUUAUUCAUUAAAAAGUAGACAUAUUUGCAGAGAUAAUUGCAGAUUCAACAGUAAUUUCUUUAAAACUUACGAGCAGUUACAAAUAAGGCACAAGUAAAUCAUGCUUAAGAGUUCCAAAGAGACCUGCAGAGAGGCACUAUCUGAUCCUCAAUUUCGCGAGUCCACAGAGACCACUCCAUCUGCACUGCAGUAAUCGGAUGAACUGCAUGAGCCCGCCUGAUAGUAUCCGGGCUGGCCUCAGACAGCCCGAUAUAUCUUACCUUCCCUUCUUCCACCAGCUUCUUAAGUUCCGCCAUCUACAUUACACACAGGCAAAAGCACAAACACCUAACCUGCAUCCCAACAAGUACAUAAUAAUUGGCACAAAGGAACCAUAGAUUAAGAUUCUUACAGUAUCCUCUAUAGGAACCGAUUUGUCCACUCUGUGCUGAUAGUACAAAUCAAUGUAGUCAACUCCGAGCCGCGUAAGGCUCGCCUCGCAGCAUGAGCGGACAUAAUCCGGCGUGCCCCUGACGGUCAUGCCGCUCCCAUCGGCACGCGCGAUGCCAAAUUUUGUGGCCAAUUGUAUAUGCUCCCGCGGCAACUGCUUCAAGGCCUGCAUAAAAACCAAACCUUUUUCACUUCCUGUUCACUUCCAACUAAUCAUACACUUCCGAAAUGAGGCAAAAUACAAUUUUGCAUCGAGAAUCCAAUAAAACGAGGGAGAAAGCAACCUUUCCGACCAAGAUUUCGUUGGUGUGGGGGCCGUACACAUCGGCGGUGUCGAAGAAGGUGAUCCCUUUGCUGAAGGCGUACUUGAUGAUGGAAAUCCCGGCUUCUUCGGAGAGCGGAGAGUUGUAAAUUCCCGUGAGGCCCAUGCACCCAAAACCCAACUUGGAGACCUGGAAAAUUAACAACAAAAUUAUUCGUUAAAUUAUUGGUUACAAAACGAUUGAGGAGAGAAAAAUGCAUACUUUUCCCUACCUCUAAACCCUGGCUCCCCAGCUUCACUCUGGGGAUUUGGGUUUCGGUUUGCGCUGCCAUGUCUCGGCAAAGAAAAAGACAAGGGCUUAAGCUCUUGGCUUUAGAAGUAGAGACUCGGAUUAAUGUGAAAGAACACGAGUUUAAAUAGAUAGCCCUAUAAUCCCACUCUCGUCACUGUACACCUCACGGUGUGGACUUUCUGAGUGGUCGUUUGAAGGUGGUUUUUUUUUUUUUCCGGUUGGGUUGUGGUUGUGGCACGGCGAGGUGUCAUUGUUCUCCCUGGGUAAAAAUGCAUGAAGGCCCCUCAACUAAAUGAUAAUCUAAAAUAGCUUGCCAACUUUUAAAAAAAAAAUUUAAAGAAAAGUUCAUCACCUUUCAGUGAUGUACAUCAAAUAAAUAGAUUAAAAUUCUGGGCUAAAUUUAAGAACAAUUUUAUCGGCUUUUCAGUUGAUAGAAAAUUUAGUUCAAAUACGCAGUAGCUGAUGAAGAUACUGAUUUUGAUAUUACUAAAAAAAUAAAAUAAUUUAGAUUAAAAUAAUGAAAAUGUAAAUAAAAAAUACUAAUUGAAGCACAAUGGACUAUUACUCUAUUAGUGAGGGGUAUUUAUGCGUUAUAGGCUAGCAACGACGAAAUUGUUUGUUGGGCCUCUAACGGGCCGAAGCCAGUCCAAAACCAUUAACUAGCGAACCAUACAGCGCCAAGGCCCGGCCUGGCCCGGUCUGGUCCCAGCCUAUUUGGCUCUCCCCUACCCCCGAAGAGUGAGACUUAACAGAGACGAGUCGAUCGAGCGACCGGAGGGAGCGACGCUCGUCCCUGCUUUUCCUCUUGUGAAACCAUUAGGGGAGCUCGCUCGAAACCCUAAUUUGGAUUGGAGGAGGAAACCGUAGCGAGAGAGAGAGAGGAAACAGGAGAGAGGCAUUAGAGAGAGAGAGAGAGAGAGAGAGCGAGAGAGAGAGAGAGAGAGAGAGAUGUCGAAGAUGGAGGGGAGAAGGAAGAAAUCAGUGGGAUCGGCGAGGAGCCUCCUCGCUAUAUCGCUGGUGAUUCUCGCGAGCUUCCUCCGCAGCGCCUCCGCGCUCUCCGUCACCGUCGCGGACGAGGAGUGCAUCUACGAGUUCGUCCCCUCCGAGGGCGACACCGUCUCCGGAAACUUCGUAGUCAUGGAUCACGACUCCUUUUGGGAUUCGGAUGAAUCCGGGGUCGAUCUCGUGGUGAGUUUCUUCUUCCUUCUCAUCUUUCCAUUUUAUUUUAUUUUUUGCAUCCAAAUUUUGGAGCAAUUGUUGCUUGCGCGAUGUGUACCCGUACAUAUCCACAGUUAAUAUGUAAUAUUUAACAAUUAAUAUUUUGAAAUCAAAAUCUAAUUCGAGCUUAUAUGUAAAUUAAAAUUUCAAUCGUGUAAACAUCAAGUUGUUUGAAAAAUCACAUUCAAUUUAUAGGUACUAAAAAUUUGUCACUUCUAAUACGUGGGCAUUUAUAUAUAUACGCACUUACGCAGGCAUUUUGAAGCGCAUAAAACACAUUCACUUGAUUAAGCCACCAAACUAUGCUGAAAUUUGCUAUAAUUUCUCUAAAAUUUGGCUCUUUUUGGCGGUCUUAUAUGAACUCAAUUUCUCUAAAAUUUGGCUCUUUUUGGCGGUCUUAUAUGAACUCAAUUUGCAAAAUUGGUUAAUUUUGAAUUAGAUCUGUCUUGCCUUCUUCUUUUUUUUUUUAAUAUUGAAAGAAUUUGUUCAAAAUCAUGUAGGUGACUUCUCCAGGAGGCAAUGUUGUGCAAUCAUGGAAGGAAACAUCCAGUGAGAAAUUUGAGUUUAAAGCUCCAAGGCCUGGAAUGUACAAGUUUUGCUUUCAUAAUGCGCAUGAUGUGCCUGAAACUAUUUCAUUCUACAUACAUGUUGGACACAUCCCCAGUGAACAUAACCUUGCAAAAGAUGGUUAGUGAAUACAAUGUCUUGCUGCUAAUUUGUUCUUGCUUAAAAGUUAGUUCUGUUUCUAAGAUAAUAUAAAGUAAGCAUAUUCUUGUUGAUCACCAUUGAAUAAGUGCAACAAGCAUUUUAAGUAUUGCAGAUUCUGUAAAAUGCUAAGAGUGAUCCUCCCAUCAUCCAUUUUCACUGAGGUGCUAGAUUGCACAGUUGUUUAAUACUGCAUCUCAUAUUAUUAAAGAAAAACUUUAAGUGAUAAUUCUCAAUUCAUUCUUCUUCUCUAUAACCAUAAGUUGCUAGACCUUCCUAGUUCGCAACGGAGAGGUUCCAGGAUGAUAUAUUUGAUUAUGUUAUUAUGUUUGUUUAUGUAUUCUUUUAUUGCAGAUCACUUGGAUCCCAUAAAUGUAAAGAUUGCAGAGCUAAGGGAAGCACUGGAAUCCGUAACAGCUGAGCAGAAGUACCUAAAAGCACGAGAAGCUCGACACCGCCGUAGUAAGUCACUAAUACAACUCACAUAUGAUUUCUGGCUUCUGAGAAUUACAAUCUCUGGUUAUUUGUCUGUGUAGUACUUCUAGCUGUAUCUUUGCUAGUUUAGGAAGGAGAGAUUUUAGUUGUUUGUGAAACUUAGGAUGGAUAGAGUUUGCAUACAUUUGGUGCCGAAAAUCCUUUUUAUCUACAUGUACAAAAUUAUUGACUGAUUCUCUAACAAAUGUCUAUUCUGAACUGAACCUCACAGAAAAUCUAUUUUAACCUAAUGAAAGAAGUUACUUCCAAAGUAUAACUAAACCUGAAAUGAGAGGAAAAGGUUGAUUCUUUAUCCCAACAUAAGCAGCUACUUAUAUUUAUAAGCUUGUCCAUCACAGGGACUUCUUAAUACCUUAAUGGCCUGGUUUAUAUCAAUGAUUGUUUGCAAUAAUUUUUACUAGUCAGACAUGCACAUGCAGCAUAAAUAUUGUUGUAAGCAGCUGGAGAUGCAGCGCAAUCUCUUAGUUGCCAGUCAACUCUACCCAAGUAACUAAUACUGAUCCAUGAUAUAAUGAUAGGCUUCACUCAAAUUCAGUAGAAUCAAAGGGGCCUUUGGUCAGAAGAAAAAAGGUGUUGCUGUCAAAGUUUCUCUAUUACAUCUCUUCUAGAUCUAGUUCCUAAAUUCUGCUUAAUUAAUGACCUGGGUUCGGCAGAGAAGAAAGCCUUUUAUUUCUUUUAAGAUUACAUUUCAAUAUGAACAUCAUUUAUAACCACAUUUGAGUUCAACUAAUGCCAAAUCCAUCCCAAUCGUAAUAUGCUUGAGUAUUCUAGUUCAUUUCUUUUUUAUUUGCAACACAAAUAACCUUUUCAAGAGGAAACAAGAAAUUUGGAAUAUAUUACGAUACUACCUAGCCAUUCUAUUGACUUUUUAAACCAAGAAUGCCUUGUGUGAGAACAAUACAAUCUGAUCUUAACCUGUAGGCAUUGUCCGCAUAGGUUAGUUUGGGAAUCAUGGAUUGUUUUUUUUAUGCAUAAUAUUCUACAGGGAAGAAAAAUAUUCCCAAUUUUGCAGCACAAACCAUACCCUCUUUUAUGCAUUUAAUUGAGCUGCAAUUGCUUUUGUUCAUUAAAUGUGUGGGUUAUUCCUUACGUGUAUAAAUCAUCCAAUGCAGCAAACGAUAGCACCAGAAGGCGUCUAAUCUUCUACACACUGACGGAGUACCUUGCACUUGUAUGCGCAAGUUUAUUUCAGGUAGUUUACAUUCGCCGCCUGUUCAGUAAGAAUGUGGGAUACAACAGGGUAUAGGCCCAUUGUAUUUUUGCCUGGCCUUCGAACUAACUUUUAGCGAAUUAGAUUUUAUUUAUUCUUUACCUAGAAUUGAAUUGAAGGAUAUUGCUAUAAUUUAAUCUUUGUUCCAUUGUAAUUUGCUAAAUAUUUUUUAGUUUGAUCUCAGAGAUUUUUUUUUUUGUUCUUUCUUCGGGGGUUCAUUAUUAGACUACAUAAGGUCAUUAUUUGAGAAAUAUGACUUUAUGUCUCUUCAUUUGGUAAAAGAGGCUUUCUUUUCUUUUAUGAUGUUAUGCAAAUUAUGUGCAGCAGCUUUGCUUGUGAGUUGUUUAAAAUCGAAAGAAUAACCUCAAGUUUAAGAGAGCUAAUCGGAGCUAAUCAGCAUUCUUCAAGUCAAUGCAUGAAUUCACAACAAAAUAGAGCACGAAUAUAACUAGACAAAUUCAUAGAUCCAGUAAACGUACUUUGACAUGCUACAACUGUAAUAUGCAUUAGUUAAAAGUGCUUAGCUUACCUUCUCUCCAUUACCAAUCAACUGGAGAAGAACAAGGCCGUCAAGUUCGUUAGCACCUUGUCUGAUAGCACCAGUUAAGACAACUCCCGUAUACUACCACAAGCGUUGCAAGAAAGGCGAAAGCCCUUAACCUAAAUUACCUGAAAGGAUCAAUCCUUCGCAUCCAUGAUGCCCCCCGGUGUUAUCUGGAAAACGUGCUCUUACUAAGUCAAGGUAACUUAAAACAUCCUUCAAAAUUAUUAAACAUUUUUGUUAGUAGUGCGUGUUGGAAAGCACAAUUUAAUCCUUAGUAGUAGUAAUCAUACUAAACAGUAAUUAAAGCAACAAUAGGAAUUUAGCAAAGGAUAUGGCUUCAGCCUCAGGAAGAUUAGGGGCGUCGAAGAUCUUGCAGACGCGCUGCUCGCCUUUCCCUUUCCUCAGCAUCAGACGGAUAGUGGAUGCAUGCGCUAGCACGUGCCCUCCCGCCGGCUUCUUUGGGUCCGAUAUGAACAUCCCUCCACCCGGAUCCGCAAUCACUGCCCAAGUUACCAAAUGAACCCCAUUCUCUCCACUUGUACUUUUGCUUUAUUUAAACACGAACAAACAUAAUGGUCAAGGAUUAUACCUUGAUUGGUCAUGUAAACUGCGACGUUGAAUUCUUCGGCGAUCUUCGUUAGGCGGGAGAGCAUCUGCGCCAACUUUUGCUGCAAUCACUUCAGUUGGAUUAGCAACCAAGGACACAUGGCGGACGAUGUGACUGAUUUUAAGGAAUCUGCUUGUACCUGGCGCUCUGCAAGCUCCCCCCUUCCAGAGAAGUCGACGCGGAACAGAGCGAUGACAGAAUCCACGAUCUGCGCUCAGCAGAAUUGGUCAUUUUAGAAGACAUAAGCCAACCAGUCUUCUUUCAAAAAGCACAUAUGGACUGCUGCUAUUUGAUCUCAAUAGGAAGAAAUGAGCUGCUCACCAGAAGCCUGAAGGGCUCUUCUGCCAUUUUCGCAGCCAAACCCAGAAGCAAGUUGUACUGAUGCUCAUACGUAUACGCUCGCGCAUAAAUGAUCUUAUAUACAAGCCAUAGAAAUUACAACUCAUAAGAAAGCAACCAAAAUGAUCCUGAGUUUAAAAAAAAAAGAAAAAAGAAAAAAAAAGAACAAGGGGCAGGAAAAUGGUUGAAAUUAUUCUUUGGUAUCCUACAUUAUCCAGGACAGCGUUGGCAUCCAUCCCAAACCUUUCUGCAAUCGGCACAAUACGAUCUGGUCGGCUAAUCAUAUCUGUUAAGGCAAACCAUGGUAAAGGCUCUGUUCACAUAGCUUAAUGAUCAGUGCACUAGCAGAAAUUUAACAAUGGUUAAAGGAUACAACGUUCCCUCGGUGUCGAUGUAAGCGACCUUCCCAUUGCCACCGUGCAUGUGGAUCGGAAGCUGGAAAAUGCGAAAAUGUUACUUGUGCAUUUUUCUGUUUUAAUCUUAUUGAUACAUGAAUUAAGCAAAAAACCGCCCAAUGUCAUAUAAGGGAAUCAUCAAAGAACCUGGGUGGAUACACAGAGGGUGUGGGCCAGCUGGGUCUUCCCGGACCUUAAAAUAGGGAAGAGGGUAAUGGAGGUGCGGGACUAAGGAUAAUGUGCCUAAAUAAAAGGAAUCAAAUAGUAAAAUUUAGAAAAAAAAAAUGAAACAGCAGAAUAUCUCAACCGGAAUUCGCCAAAUGCCUCGGUGAUCGAGAGCGUCUCAAUUCCACCUUCACAAAAUGGUUGGCAAAAAUGUUCCACGUUAGCAAGCUACAGAUUAGUACCAAUACACUUUCAACAAAUUGAGCAAACUCACCGCCAAGUAGCUCGUCGAGGGCUUGGCUCCCAGUUGUUAUUCGAAUCACCGAUUUUCGCUGAAAAAGGAAAGUUUAAACGAUUUAAUUGAUUAAAACGUGGCCGAGACCUAGAGGCUCGAAACGACGGGAUGAUCCGAGAAGUCAAAAGCAGCGAAUCAGAUCAGAGGAAGUUGAGCGACAGCUCGGAUCGUCCAAUGAGCAAAGAACAACACAAAGGUUAUGCGGCGUACGUUAGCCUAUUUCAAUGCAAUUUUAAAUAGAUGAGUACCCUAAGCAGUAGAUCGCUUCCCGUCACAUAGCCCAUGUUCUACGAAAGAGACGAACCAAAUUGAAAAGGAGGGUUGAGAACAAAUAGAUCAAAUAGAAGUGCAAAAUAGCAGAAAAUGUUUUAAGAUAAAAUUUGAGCCCUAACCACAAGCUUCUCUGCAGCUUCACAUAUUUUAUCGACCUUCGCUUCGGACAAUCCCUUUAUUCCUGUCAAGCUCUGCGUAUAGGCAAAGUUGAAGACAAAUCCUCGAGAUAUCUAAGAUAAUGUGUUAAUCCAAGGCGAUCUGUGGGCACAAACCUUCUUCGUGUGCAUCAUUAGGCCAUUACAAGUGUAGAUCCCCGCGUCCUGAAGCUUCUUGAUGUCUCCUGCAUUGAUCCCUUGAGAAAUCACUGCAGAAACCACACAAUUAUGGUAAUAAACCGGUCGGUUCUAGAGAAUUUGAAUUGGAAUGCUUGAAACUGUAACGGAAGCUGCUAAUGAUGGGAGAUCGGGUUAAUUUAUCAUAAAAUCGAUCUAAACACUGUUCACAAGCUAAUAAUCGAAUCAAAGGAUGGCAAAAAAUGUUGUCGAUCUCCAACUAAGCAGAAAAAUCACAAGAAUUCAAGCGUAGAUCUCACAUUUGUCGAUGGAUUCGAAGCAAUCUUCUUCCUCCUCUGCUUCCUCUCGAUCCAGAAGCUGCAGCUGCCCCUGGUCUUCGAAUCUGAGAUCCAUCAAGCAACCAAAGCAUAGAGAUCGCUUAUCCCAGAGAUAUUGAAACCAAGGAAGAAGAGGAAGAUGAAGAAGAAGAGGGAUAGGAGGAGAGAUGCGCUAUAACUUGACGUCGAUCAUCGUCUUGUUUCAAAUUCCCGCGGAGAGAGAGAGAGAGAGAGAGAGAGAGAGAGCAUUUGAAAUGUGGGAUGCAGUGGGGUUCAUAUAUAAGAGCUCCGGACCCCACGAAACUUAUUCAAAUGAGUUGAUAAGUUCCCCAAAUCCGGGCGUUUUUUAAUUAAUUUAAUUCCGGGUUUAUUUUCGCGGCAAAGUUGAUCACUGGGGCUACGCAGCGUAGGGCUACUGGACCGUUGAGGAUGGAUUGGUACAAGGAUCUAAAGGGCCCAACGUGAGCCCAAGUAUGGCCUAAUACUAUGGGCUUCACAUGCCAAACUCGUUUCUAGGGCCAAAACAUUGUGGGCUCGAAGACAACAUCACCCUUUACGAUCUUACAGUAUUACUCUCGCUGUGUUCUCUGAGCUCAAAUCUGCGUCGUCUUCGCUCGAUUUUUAGGGCUCCCAAACAAAGCGACAAAGGCUCCGUUGGUGCACAUUUCGGAACUCUCUUUUUUUGCAAUUUUAACUCUUUAAAAUGCACUCUAGUGUUGUGAACCAGGUUUUAUGAUAGUGUUGUGUACGCAAUUUUUGCUUCUUAUCGCUUUACAUGAUGUGAAUUUGUGUACCAAAGAGAAGCAGAGUAGUGAGGAUUGGGAUUAUAACAACCAUGUGAGUAUUAGAUAUUUGAUAGCAUAAAUGCGUAAUUAAUUUGUAAUGGUGUUAAGAACUUAUGCUUCUCAUUGCAAGAAUUUUUGUGGCUUCUAAAUUGUUUAAUUGAUUGUUAGAUUGGUCAAAUUAUCCAGUGGAGUAUGGCAUAUUUAAGUUUUCCUUGUUGAUAUCCUAGAAUUGAGGUGGUUAUCCCUUGCAUUUGUUAGUUUCUGCAUAUGUUUUGUGUUUCAGUGUUACUAGGGCAAUGAUUUCUUUGGUGACUUUUGAUGUGUGCAAUGAAUAAGUGCUGUAUUUAAAUUAUUUUAAAUUAGCUUACUUUUCAAAAAAAAAAAAAGUUUGAGAAAGGUUUCAUAUUGGGGAAAAGCUGUUAAAAAAAUCUGAUGCUUUACUUGAUAUCUAAGCGUCAAGGACACUGACACGGGACGCGACACGACUCGGACACCGUGAUUCGGCAACUUUCAAAAAAUUAGGACACGGACACGGCAUGAGUAUUGCUAAUAAAAUAUAAUAUUAUUAAUAUAAUAAUAUAUUUUUAUUAUGUAUAAAAUAUUGAUUUUGGUAAAAUAUUAUUAUUAUUUCUCUUACGAAUUAAAGUUAAUACAAUUUUUAUUGAUAGUUCAUAUAUUUUAAGAAAAGAAAUUAUCCACCAUACAUNCAGAGAAUCAGUAAUUCAAGUCUGGAGUAAUUAUUCGAUUUUGAACUAUAAAAAUCCGGUGCACAUCGACAAAGAUAUCUGAUAUAUAUAUAUAUAUAUAUAUAUAUAUAUAUAUAUAUAUUUUAGUUGUAUGUAUUAUAAAUCGGCAUUAAAUGGGCGUCCAAAGAGUGUCCACAUCGGACACGUGUCCGACACGGACACGUGCGCGUCCAACACGGACACCCGAGGCUUACAAAAGUGUCCGUGAUACAUAGCUUGAUAUGAUAUUAGCUAUUGUAGGUUAUUGUGGUUGCUGCAAUUUCGUGUAGGUUAGAGUACUUAGAAGAAAGGAAGAGAGAGGGAAGAGGAAGAGGAAUUAAGAGAAAAUAUUUUUUUUGUCAUUUUUGUUGUAAGUUAAUUACAUAUUGGGAUUGCUAGAAUCUGUUUCAGCAUGGCUCAUUUGCCAAUCUGUUUUCAUCAUAGUGACGGUUGAGUAUAUCCUUUGCAUCUUUUUGUUUUGAUGAACUGCUGUGCAUAUCAAUAUGCAGUUGAAUUAGUAUUGCUUUUAAUUGCUAGAAACUAGGGCAAAACAGAGAGAAAAGGAAAACUUGGAGCCAUAAGAAUUGUAUUAACCCUUUUUUUAGGAUUUGCAGCUGGAAAAUCUGUGAUGUAUAUAUAUACGAAAUUUUGUGUCUUUAGGACCUGUAGGUCAUUUAUGUAUGCAUGAUAAAAGAUUAAUGGCUGGUUAAGAGAAGGUUCCAUGGCCUCGCUCAAGUGAUCCUCAUUUUAGUUAUGUGCCGGCGCACCCGUUUAGUUCUUUCACUUACGGUAUCAAUGCUUCCUUAAAAUGUUAAUGUUUCUAAAAGUGUGAUAUAUCAAUUAGAGGUGUUUUAUGAAUUCAACUUUAACAGGCUUUCUGCAGGUGGUUUACUUCUUUUUGUUCAGUGAGGAGCCAUAAUUCAAUAAGGACUAGGACCACACCUGCAGCUUAUGAUUGGACCGCUCUCACUAGGGUCUCUUUCAAGUAAUUCCUGCUUUCAUUUUUAAUAUGUUCCUCUUUCUACUUUUCUUGAUUUAUUUUACAUGCCAAGCACUUUAAUUUUUUUUUGUUCUACCACUUGUUUCUUUUCUUGGUACUUUUUGGUUGUGGGUAAUGAUUAGUGUCAUUUUGUUACUUUUUAUUUUUCUUUUUCUUGUGUUAUAUCAACUCCACAUUGUAAUUUAGGUUGGAAAUUGUAUCAAGUAUCAACUAUGUUUCUUAGUUCUUCUAUAGUGGAAAAACUGUGUUAGUGUAGUAGUUUUGGUUCCUUUUCAGCUUCUGUCAUUUCAUCUGCAACUUGUGCAAAAGAUGCUUCAUUAAGGUGCAGUUUGGAAUCUCCUUUACUGCUUUAUGUAAACAACGGUGGCUUGGUUUCUCCUUUUUUCACGAAACUGCGAUUCUAGACUUAUCUGAUCUUGGUAUUUUCAUUCUGUUAAUUAAAUUAAAGUGGUUUUCCCUUGUACGUUAAACAUGUGAAGAUUGUGCUCAACUCUCCUUCACCAUUUGAAGUCUGACUAUAUUAGUUCUGAAAAUGACAUCUCUCUGGCCUUGGUAACCAUUUUACCGGUCUCCACCUUCACCCCUUUCUUCUUCUUUUUCUCUCUCUUUUUUUAUAAAAAUAUAUGUGUUCGAUCUUCCGGUUUGUGCAUCGUUUUUUUAAUCUUAUUUUUAACUUGGACGGUAUAUUUCAGUUAUUUAUUUUUGCUCUCUCUUUUCUUCUCCCUUGCUUUUCUCAUUUUGUUCUUAAUAUUUGAUUGUCGUUUUCCUUUUUUCCCUGUGGGAAUAUUGGAACCAAAUUGCGUGACAAUUCCUUUAUCACUUCUUUGCGGGCUACCUAUGAGAGGAGCUCAUUUCUAUAAAGCUGUAACCAAAGGAACUCAGGCAUCAAUCUUCUGUUUAUGAAGAUGUGUGCCUCUACCAGAUGGCCACUAUGAUAAAACAGUGGGAGACAAUAUAUUCAAUUUUACUAAUCUCCCUUUCUUCGUUUGGAUGUCCUACUUUGUAUAAGCUAUGUUGAUUUUCAAUUUUUUUCAUUGUUGCGCCUAUUGUCAGUUGACUUUGUUACCUGAGAUUUUACCCCAAGAUUUGCUUAUCCUUUUGUUCUGUGCGCCUGUGCUUUCAAUUAAUUAUGCAUCUAAACUUCUGCAAUGCAUUGAACUAGCCCUACUCCCUUUCCCAUUCUCUUGUUCUCCACACAUGUUGUUGUUUUCCUUUUCUUCACUUUACUCUUCUUUUCUUUCUUUUGACAAUACUAAAUUCAUUGUUGUUAUUUGUGGCGGAGGGAUUGAAGCCUUUUGAGAAGUGCUCAAGGGAAUAAUUGAAGCUGUUAGCGUGAUCUACUUUUUAAUAACCAAAAUUUUAGCACCAAGCAUAUUCGUUUGUGUGAAACAUAACGAGACCGAUCUUUUGGCUGAAUCAUCUUUUACUAGGUCACCCUUUGACAGCUUCACUUGUUCCCUGUUGGUUUCUCUAAUUGGACAAAACAAAUAUCUUGGUCAAAAUACAAAAGGAAUGUGAAAAAAAGAAGAUCAACCAUGUAUAUUCUUCAUGUUCCUUGUCCACACAUGGCCAUGCUUAAUGAUCCUUCUUUUUAUCAUUCAUGCUUCUUCUCUGCUGACCUCAUGUUCAACAAGGACGUGGGGGAUCUUAUUCUUGCGUUCUACUUUUCUUUCUAAGAGGAUGUUAGUAUCUCUGUUGUUUAAUGGCAUACCCAACGCUGUUUGUCUAACACUGAAUCUCAGGUGGAAGGGAAAUAGAAAUAUGACUUAGUAUAGAAGUUGAUCUACAAAUUCUCAUCAAGUCGUUUGUUUAAUUAGUAUUACUUAUCUGUAGGUUCUUAAGUCCUUCUAGGCCUUACCUGUGUCUCUCCCAAGUACAAAACAAUUGCAGGUUGGUUGCCAUUCAUUUAUUGAAUCAAUUGCAAAUUCUGUUCAUUGUAGCUAAUCCUUGAAUAAUUAUACUAAAGCCUCUCUUAAUCCAACCAAGGAAUGGAAUACUCUAACCAUGAACAGAACAAUGCUGCUUACAAAGUGAAAAAAUCCAACCAAGGAAUGGAAUACUCUAACCAUGAACAGAACAAUGCUGCUUACAAAGUGAAAAAAAAAAAGAAAGAGGGUAUGAUGGUACCAUAGUCCAAGGAGGGAUUCACUUGUUUAUUUGAGUAGGAACAUUAAAUUAUUAUCUGAGAGGUGGGAAUUAUACCUGAGAGCUUGAGAAGUGUACAUUAUGUUUUCUUGUAUGCAAAAUUGUUAGCCUCACAGUAAUCUCUUGGAAUAAAUAAUGCUGGAGAUUAGUGUUUUAUUAAAGAAGUCAAUAAUAUAAUGUGGAAUCAGUAUUUAUCAUAACCCAUUUGGCAUUUUUGGUUUAGGGCAGUCUACAGUCCGCAUUAAAUUUUUCACUUCUUUAAGAAAAGUCACCCACAGGUCAAGCAUGUUGGUGGAAUCCUCAUAAAGAAAGUAGAAUGGAUUAUAUAAAUUUAUCCUGUUGCAUGAAAGAGCUAAAGAUCCCUGCAAUGGUCCUAAUACUGCUGCUGACAUGCAUGUUUAACGGUCGGCGGACCGUUUGUGUUUUUACUUAUAUAAAAGCUAAGAUAGAGACUUAAUUUACAUGGCUUAAAACUUGCUCUGAUUCGAUUUCUUUAAAAACAUUUCAUAUGGUGUUUUCAAAUUUCAUGUGUAUUUAAAAACCCAUUUAAGGGCAUUUCCCAGUUGCAUGGUGUAAUAUAAGGGCAUGUUUGUUUCAACGUAAGUAGACUUGGGGUGGAAGUGGAUUUUGGAUUAAAGUGGAGUUUAGGUGAAAAUUAAUUUACUUCUGCUGUUUGUUUCUAACUGUGGAAGUGCAGUUCUAUGAGUUCUGUUGUCUGUUUGGUAGGAAGUAGAUUACGUAAAAAGUGUAGCUCUCCAUCUCCGGUAUACUUAUCUCCGAAGUGAUAUUAUUGUCUAUUUUGUAACUUAGUGAAUAAUAAAAUAUAAUAAAUAAAAAUUAAUAUAAUUAUAUAUGUAUAUAAUUAUAUAUAUGUAUAAUUAUAAAAUAAAAUUUUAAAAAAUUAUAUUAUUUGUUUGCAUAUAAAUUAUAAUAAUGUAACAAAUAAAAUUCUAAAGUUAAAAAAUUAUUAACAUUUAACAAAUUCAUUUUUCAUCAUUUUUUAAGUAUACAUAUUAAACAAAAAAUAUAUUAAAACUUGCCCAACUAAAUUUGAUCACAUUACCUAACCAAAUUUAACAAGCUUCUUUGCCUCUUUGCACUUCACCGGAAUUGACUUCGCCCCGUGGGAGGGCGAAGUCAAUUACCCUAUUUUGGGCGAACUUGACUUUCGGCCGUAAUAAAAUUACNNNNNNNNNNNNNNNNNNNNNNNNNNNNNNNNNNNNNNNNNNNNNNNNNNNNNNNNNNNNNNNNNNNNNNNNNNNNNNNNNNNNNNNNNNNNNNNNNNNNNNNNNNNNNNNNNNNNNNNNNNNNNNNNNNNNNNNNNNNNNNNNNNNNNNNNNNNNNNNNNNNNNNNNNNNNNNNNNNNNNNNNNNNNNNNNNNNNNNNNNNNNNNNNNNNNNNNNNNNNNNNNNNNNNNNNNNNNNNNNNNNNNNNNNNNNNNNNNNNNNNNNNNNNNNNNNNNNNNNNNNNNNNNNNNNNNNNNNNNNNNNNNNNNNNNNNNNNNNNNNNNNNNNNNNNNNNNNNNNNNNNNNNNNNNNNNNNNNNNNNNNNNNNNNNNNNNNNNNNNNNNNNNNNNNNNNNNNNNNNNNNNNNNNNNNNNNNNNNNNNNNNNNNNNNNNNNNNNNNNNNNNNNNNNNNNNNNNNNNNNNNNNNNNNNNNNNNNNNNNNNNNNNNNNNNNNNNNNNNNNNNNNNNNNNNNNNNNNNNNNNNNNNNNNNNNNNNNNNNNNNNNNNNNNNNNNNNNNNNNNNNNNNNNNNNNNNNNNNNNNNNNNNNNNNNNNNNNNNNNNNNNNNNNNNNNNNNNNNNNNNNNNNNNNNNNNNNNNNNNNNNNNNNNNNNNNNNNNNNNNNNNNNNNNNNNNNNNNNNNNNNNNNNNNNNNNNNNNNNNNNNNNNNNNNNNNNNNNNNNNNNNNNNNNNNNNNNNNNNNNNNNNNNNNNNNNNNNNNNNNNNNNNNNNNNNNNNNNNNNNNNNNNNNNNNNNNNNNNNNNNNNNNNNNNNNNNNNNNNNNNNNNNNNNNNNNNNNNNNNNNNNNNNNNNNNNNNNNNNNNNNNNNNNNNNNNNNNNNNNNNNNNNNNNNNNNNNNNNNNNNNNNNNNNNNNNNNNNNNNNNNNNNNNNNNNNNNNNNNNNNNNNNNNNNNNNNNNNNNNNNNNNNNNNNNNNNNNNNNNNNNNNNNNNNNNNNNNNNNNNNNNNNNNNNNNNNNNNNNNNNNNNNNNNNNNNNNNNNNNNNNNNNNNNNNNNNNNNNNNNNNNNNNNNNNNNNNNNNNNNNNNNNNNNNNNNNNNNNNNNNNNNNNNNNNNNNNNNNNNNNNNNNNNNNNNNNNNNNNNNNNNNNNNNNNNNNNNNNNNNNNNNNNNNNNNNNNNNNNNNNNNNNNNNNNNNNNNNNNNNNNNNNNNNNNNNNNNNNNNNNNNNNNNNNNNNNNNNNNNNNNNNNNNNNNNNNNNNNNNNNNNNNNNNNNNNNNNNNNNNNNNNNNNNNNNNNNNNNNNNNNNNNNNNNNNNNNNNNNNNNNNNNNNNNNNNNNNNNNNNNNNNNNNNNNNNNNNNNNNNNNNNNNNNNNNNNNNNNNNNNNNNUAAUUAUAAAAUAAAAUUUUAAAAAAUUAUAUUAUUUGUUUGCAUAUAAAUUAUAAUAAUGUAACAAAUAAAAUUCUAAAGUUAAAAAAUUAUUAACAUUUAACAAAUUCAUUUUUCAUCAUUUUCUAAAUAUACAAAUUAGACAAAAAAUAUAUUAAAACUUGCCUAACUAAAUUUGAUCACCUUACCUAACCAAAUUUAACAAGCUCCUUUGCUUCUUUGCACUUCACCGGAAUUGACUUCGCCCCGUGGAAGGGUGAACUCGACUUUCAGCCGUAAUAAAAUUACGGCAAAACAAACAACGGAAGUGAUAGUUUACGGCGUAAACAACUUUCCCCCUCUCCACUUCCCCCUGACUUUCACCCAAACAAACACACCCUAGGUGCUUAUUAAAGAGGAUUUCUUCACCAGAUAGGCUUGUCAGCAUGCUUUGCCUACAUUUUCCGUGAGAGUGAUUCAGUCAGAAUAAGGUAGAAAGAAUCUGAUUUUAAAGUGCUUUUUGUGUAUAUAUAUAUAUAUAUAUAUAUAUAUAUAUAUAUAUAUAUAUAUACACACACACGAUUAGGAUGAUAUGGGCCCCGUAGGGUUGAGUGAGUUAUUGGUUUAAUAGUAUAAUUUAACGGGUGAAAAUAGUCAAAUGAUUAAAUUUAACGGUGAAAAACUUGAUAGUACUAAACGCUUGGUACUAUCGAUAGUAUCCUAGCCAGAUUUUUAUAUAUAUACAUAUUAAUGAGAUGUACAUAAUGUGAUUUACCUAAUUAAACACAAAUAGAAGUUAAUUUCUAUUAAUAAAUCUUCUUAGUUUUUUGUCUUGGAAAAGUCUACCAAUAGCAAAGACUCUUUUAUAGUUUUUAUCUUGAAAUAGGUUUUCAGUGUUACUCUUCUAGUCAGACAACAGUCUAUAUAUACAGAAAUAUUGAUCGGUUCAUGCACACAACAUAAAAAUACUAUACAUAUUUAUCAAAAACAUCAAUAAUUUAUAUAUAAAAAGCAACAUUCCAGGGACCCAAAGCAUAUCCUGCAACUAAUGUAGCCAAAGAGCUAGAUCAACGAAAGCGGCAUUUGCAAACAGCUGCCAUAUCAUUUCUUACCAAUGAAGAGAUUCCAAUUAGGAACAAUAGUUUUCUUCUUCUUUUUUUCUUUUUCUUUUUUUUUUCAACCACAGAAGCAAGAGAGAGGGACAGAAUUAGGGGGGAGGGGGACCAUGUAUAAUUGGGUGGAUACAUACCGUUCUCUCUAGGGUUCACAGGAGUAGAAGAUGUGAGCAUCUUAACCCCUCUCUUUCACACACACACACACGCACACUGUGGUCUCUGUGAAAUGGACGUGGAGAUGCAUGAAAGGGCCCCUCGAAAAGCUAAUCAACAAAAAGCCAACAGCAGUUAUAGAAUCCUCAGCAUGCAUGGUGGAGGGGUGGGCGUGGCCAUAUACAAUUUCCCCCUACCCUUUGGGACCACCACCUUUAAAUUAUUCUAUGUUUUCUUUAAACACCAUGCCAACACCCCCUGUAACCUAAUAAAGGCUUAAAAAACCUUUAACCCCUUUGAUCCACAUCCCCCACUCUCCUCUUCUUCUUUUCUAUGUACUCCCUCUCCCCCCCCCCCCAAACNUCAUGUGAACAGUAAUCUCCUCUCUCUUAUCCUCUCUUCUCUUCUCUUCCUUCGCAUCGGUCUGUUGGUGCACCAUCAAGUAGAUGAAGCUGCCAGCAUGAUCUGACCAUCUCUCUCUCUCUCUCUCUCUCUCUCUCUCUCUCUCUCUCUUAAAGAGGGAAGUAUCAGAUCAUGCGGCAGUUUCAUCUUCUGAUGGAAGCACAAAAAGAACUCUAGUUCCUCAUCAGGUUUCAUGGAGAUUCAUCGAGGACAGCGCAUCAGUGAUCUUGAUCAGUUAUGUCUUCAAUUUCCUGGUAUACAUGUAGUCUCUAAUGUUAAUCUCUUAACGCUAUCGCUGAUUUUUGUUCUUGCUGUUGUUGUUUGACAUAAUUAAUUAAGAAAGCUAAAAAGACGGAAGGGAGGGAGAGGAUGCAGUUAGAAGUUUUGGAGUUGCCUCAGCCUUGGUGUGCAUGGUUGAAUGGUUGACUAUAUAUCCACUGUGAGCUAGUAGUCACUAGUAAUUUUAUCCUUUUGAGUUCCUUCAUUUGCUGCCAAGUAGUAAUUAUAAUGUUUUGAUUAUAUAUAGGUAUUUAAUUAGCAGUAGCGUAGUGAUUUUUUUUUUUACAAAAUUUAAUUCUAUUAGGAAAAGGAGACUCCUCUCCUUUUCUUUUCAUUAUCAUCUUGCUAUUUUUUCUUCUCUUUUUUUUUUUUUUUUAUUCGAGCGAAAACCCGUAUGUAGAUACUCUUGCGCAGCUGUUAUUUACAGAGAGGAAGCAAUCACUAAUCACAUCGAUCGAUAGAUAUAUUGAUGGUUUCUAACCAUCUCUCAUUUUUUCUGCAUCCCAUGUGGUAAUUAGGAGAUUAGCUCAGCAUUGUCUUUUUUUCGUAUUUUUCUUUGCAUUUUUUUAGGAUCAGAACAGCAUCAUCUUCAAGCUUUCAUAACGGUCGGUGUUAAUAACGCAUCAAAAUUUGCUAAGAUGGAUAGAUUCAUUAAAUGUGAUCAUAGUCCCUUGGUUAAUUUUGAGCAGAUUCAUUAAAAAUAUAGUUCGUCAUUGCUAAAACUGGCACCAUAAGCCUUUAGGCUUUGGUAAGUAGCAAUUUAUUGUAUGUUUAGUAUUCUUCUAAUGAAGGUCAUGACUGCUGGUGCAUUUGACAUAGUUCUAAUUAUAUAUAUAAGUAGGUAUUCUACUGCGCUGAGCUUUAAUUAUUGAUUAGUACUAGUCCCCUCUCUCUAUCUCUCACCCCUUUAAUUAAUUACAGGCACAAAUCCUUACGACGACUAUAUGUCUAAUUAACCUGUUUACUAUAUAUACAAUUUAAGUAAAUUUAGAAAGUUUCUCAUCUAGUUUCUCACUGUCUCUACUGUCCUAUGUUUAUUAUUUGGGUGGGGGACACAUGCAACCCAUUUGUUUUGUUUUUUUUUUGAGAGAGAUAGGUAGCAUGCUACCCGUUCGUUUAUUUCAUUUAGAAAUAAAUUUAGCUGGAAAAUGUGAAUCAACUAGGAUUCGAACUUGGGUCUCAGGUACCAACCACCAAGUCCUUUGCCACUUGCUCUAGGGAUGGUCUGUUAUGCAACUCAUUGUUACAUAUAUAUAUAUAUNNNNNNUUCUUAUGAAGUCUCAAAAUUGUGGCCAUAAUGGUAUGCUUCCUUUGGAGCGUGCAAAAAGAUAUCCCUGAGUUCACUACCUUGGGCAAGGUGUUGAGGGGGGGAGGGGGGGUGGCGGGGCGGGGCAUAGGAAACCAACCUAAAUGUAAUGCUCAAAAUUCGAUGGAGAGAAGGAAAGAGGAAAGGUUUCUUAUUGUGGCGAAUAAUCUCUACAGGACCAUGAAACCUGUGAGCUUACAAGUUUCCAAGUACUACGUACUAUUGUUUCUUAUGGUUUUUUCUUUUUUUGGAGAAAAAGAUGGCUAAGUUAUUCAUUUCAUUCAUUCGAAAAAUAAAUUAAAUAAAAGCAACUAGAACCUCAAGAAAAAAACAGAAAGGGGAAAGAGAGUGUAACAAAACAGUAGAAAUCAAGAGAGAGAGAGAGAGAGAGAGAGAGAGAGAGAUGUUACACAGAUAAGGGCAGCUGAUGGCAAUGCUCGGGUCAUAAAUCCAAAGUUCUUUAGAUAUUCAAUAAAGCCUGAGAUGGGUUUGUUCUUUUGUCCACGAAAAUAAUGUUAUUCCUUUCAAGCUAGAUCGCCCAUCAAGUAUCGGGAAGUCGCGUCAGAUCUUAUUUUCUUUUACCAUCAUCUGAAUGUUUGAUUAGUUUCUCACAUAAUCCUCAUACUUUGUUUGUAUUCUGUGCUAUGAAAGAACCCUAGUCUGAACAUGUGAGCAUGUAAUUGAGAUAUAAGUAUAGCGAAAAGAGAUGGCCAUAUGCCUUGAACUCGCUUGCGCGGAGGACGUAAACUUGUUUUCCCAACUUGCCCCGUUUAAGGAAAUUGUCUGCAGCAAGGAUCUCUUUCUCAAAAGCAUUGAAACAAAAAUUUAACCUUCUUCUAGUAGGAAGUUCUAAAGUGAUUUAACUGUGAAGCAUUGUAUUAGCCACCUUUGAUUUUUGUAACCUCCCUUUGAGGAGAGAGAGAGAGAGAGAGAGAGAGAGAGAGAGAGAGAGAGAGAGAGAGGAAGAGAACAGGAGCAUGUUUGUUAUGUUCACUUUACCAUUUCUAUCAUUAUUGAAUCAAGUUUUUUUUUAAAAAAAAAACAGUAAUCAAGCAUUUUGAUCUUUACUAAAAAAUGUAAAAAGUUUGUUUUUUUCUCUCCAAAAAUAAAGGUAAAAUGUAUUUUAAUAAACGAGCCUACAUAUUGCUUGGUGGUUUACGACACAAAGACAGUUAAAUGCAAACUUUUUUAGUGCUGAACUCCGCAUAUUCAUAUCUCAAGCUCUUAGUAUAAUUUAAGCCAUAUUAAUCAGAUGCUAGCAAUAUCUUAUGAUGAGUUGCUAUUACAUUAGCUUAUAUGUGUUCAGCAAUUGUGUCAUCUGUGAGACAUGGUGGUUGAUCUCUCAUGCACUACUACUGCUGCAUGCAAUAUUUUUGUACUAUAUGUAAUACAGCUCCAUUGAACAUGUGUUGGACUCUUUCAAUUUCCACUUAUCUUAUUUUUAGCUGGGACCUGUUGAAUUCUAUAUAUUCAGACUUGAUUCCAAUCAGAGUUAGUCUCUUUUUAAGUUCUCUCUUUUCCUCUGAAAUGUCUGUUAAAUUAAGCUUUCGAUGUUUUUUCUCCUCCCCGUAUAUUUUAAUCUCUAUUUCUUUCUUUUUUUUUGUUUUUCUCUUUGUAGAGAUCAUGGGAUCUGUCUAAUUAUUUCUGAUCUAAUUACAUCAAACCAUCCUUAAUUAAAGUUUUCAAUUUAAGAUACCUAAAUCUGAGCAACAUGCAUACUGGCUUGCACACCAUGCUAUUCUCCUUUAUGGCCUUAUCCUUACUACCAAAAAAGUAUCAUUCAUCAGAGCUAGGGACGAUUACCUAAUUAAACUAUGAUGAUGAGAAGCUAAAGGUGUUCUUCCAAAAUUAUUUUAAAUAAUGAUGAUGAAUAUAAUUAACUCUUCAUUUUAUCUCCAAUCAGGUUUUUUCAGUAAGGCACCCUCAAUAGAAAGGCAUGCCCAUCCAGAGGCAACCAGGUUGGUUCCAGGUACAAAUGGUUCGUGUUAAAACAGCAAUAACAGCAAUAUUUUCCUUCGGUAAGUUGAAAGCAAGUAGCACACUCAAAACUCUGAAUGCCUGGUAUUAUCUGCCUAUUUUUUAAAGUUAGUCUACACAGAUUGAAUAUUCACAUUGCAGUUCAGUAGAAUAUACAAAAUGUGGAGUGUAUGAGUCUGUUACAAGGUUUCAAAGUUUCCUUUGUUUCAAGUAUAGCCGCCAAAAAUCAUAUGUACAAAUCUGACUAGGAAGAUUAAAGCUAGAAAUAUUACAUUAAUAUAAACCUUUUGUACAGAGAGUUCCACUUGGGCUACCCACUUAAUACAAUAUUACAAUUAUCUCCCAUCCAUCCUUUCUGUACAUACAUAUUCUGUUUGCUACUCCAGUUUAGCAGUAGAACAUUACCCUCUUCACAUUCUCCUUCAGCGCAAGAAGUGGCUUCACUGUAGCCUCUCCUCUCCCACAUGAGGUUCGUACGCUGUUUCCCAGUGAGCCAUUCUUUUGUUCUUCAGGGUCGACAUAGAACCGGGCUCGGAAUGCCGCUAAAUGUGCAUAAUAUGCUGGAGGGACUGCAGAGUAACCCAAUUAUCAGCCUCAUAGAGAUUAUAGUGUUUCGAAACUAAGCUUUUCAUGUGAUAGAAGGGGCAGAAAUAGGGAAGCAGGAAAGGUGGGGCUAAAGGAACGAUGAUUCUCUGUUGCUUAUGACUCGCAGAGUUUCAAUUUAAAGCGAUUCUUUCAUGUCGAAAAGUAGGGAAAUCAACGAGGGUGUAACUAUGGUGUCUAAACUUACAGCAAGGUGAAAUACUUUUUGACUAAGUGUGAAUAAGAAGGAAGAUUAAGCUUCGGAAGAAAAAAAAGGAAAUAAAAUUACACGGAACAUUAUCAUACCGAUAGAGACAGAUCGUGUACACCUUGCAUACCUGCAAAGGUGUGCAGACUCAAAAUAUCAAGCGUUGAAUAGACAGGAAAUAGCAGAGAUAAACAGAGAAGGAGAGGGGAAGGUUAAAACAUACGUGUAGCACAAAUUGUUUGUCAGCGAUUGCAAUCCAUCUGCUGUAAAAUUAUUUUCAUCCCAUAAAACAUGGUAAUGGGCUGGUCUACUAGUCCCCUGCUUAGUUUCCAAAACACAUGUUAGGUAUGCAGUAUGGUUUAAUUUUCAGUGCAUUUGGAAAUUGAUCUUCUGCUAACGGUAAUUUGCAAAUAAAGGUUGAUAUGACCUGGAGUCCGGCAUGGCUGCACAAGUAGAAGUCGAAUUCUGUCGGAUGGCAUAUUCUGGAAUCAACUACAGUGCCUGCAUUACAUAUGUUGACCUAUAAAUCUCAAUUUGAAAUAAGCUUUUAGCUGAAGCAUUUUGUAUAACUAAUCAUACCAGGUAGUAUGUUCCCACUCUUGUCGGUGCUAGCCCGAUUCUUGUGGUUGCUGACAAAUAGCCUCGUGUGAUGCCGCUUUUGGACGACUACAAAAGUCACCGGUGGUUGAUAGUUCGGCUCAAGAGAGGCACAAGCCUUCAGCGAACAAAGCACAUACCGAGUUUCCAAAAUUGUUUUACUACUAAUGUCAUUAUAAAAAAAGAAUAUUCCGACGCUUGAGAAUGUAAGUCAAAGGAAUCACUAUUCACCUUUCGGAUUGCAUCUAGCUCAUAAAGUAGCACUUGGUAAAACUGACCUUCACUCACGCCAUCCCUGUGCAAGAAAUAACCAGGAAAUAGUUAUUCUUCAUCUUUCUUUACAAAUAUAAUGGAUUUUAACUUAAGAGUGAGUUUGCAAAUUUGUUUCUACGAGUAAUGGGUGUCCUUAUUUCUUGCCUUAGUUUGCUUCUUGAUUGAAACUUGCUCUCUCAAAAUUUUAUGUGAGAUUGUUCAUUUAAAUAUGACCUCAAAUAAGUUACUUUAUCUUUUCUGUUUUUUUUCUUAAGACUAAAUUGUUCUUUUACACUGAUUACAUGUUCUCUCAUAUAAUUUUUUGAAUCACCUAUCAGAUUAACACAAGUAGCCAUUCAUCAUUAGGUCUAGGCAAAAUAGAGUAGCUAUUUGUAUCAACCUGUAAAAUAUGAUCCUCAGUGGCUUUUGGCCAGUAGCUCUCCUGAAAGAUAUCAGUAGAUCCCUGCAUUACCAAUUAAGGUAUCAUGAUCAAAAGAAAGAAUCAGUGAACUUUUGAUCCGAACAUAAGAGCGCAGCAAGGACCAUUAAGACAGUUAAAGAAAUUUGGGAAGCUCAAAAAUUAGUGUGUAAGAGCCAGAGGUUCAGCAUCAAUUUUCCAUGUAGGGUCAGCAUUCAUCGAAAGAGUUACCUAAUCAUGCCUCCAUUCACUGUUCCUCGAAUAGGAUCAUUCCACGUCUUAUACAAAUCUUGUAUAAGCUCCUGUCGGUGUGUCUGAGCACAGACAACGCCAGCAUAUUUAGUAAUUUCUGGCCAAUCUUGAGAAGCUACUACCUACAUCAACCAAAAAAGAAAACGCCAAAUUUGAAAUUUAGAAAAAAAAAAAAGUAAAAACGAAUAUUUAGAGAUUAGUAUUGUUGGAUCAUACAGCAGCAAUCGAAGGGCUUGCGUCCUCUCCGCUCUCUGGGUGGGUAACAUCUGCUCCAAAAAUAAUAGUUGGAAUAUCACUGACUAGUGGUAUUUUCCAAGCAAUUGCAUCCAAAAGCACAGUGUUUCUUCCUCCCAUCUGCAAAAUAUUAUGCAUUGAUCAUAUAGUCCUGUUCUUCUAAAUUCUGGCAAUUAGAAACAGAGAAUGCCCAUCAUCACGAAUUUACAGUUUAUUCUCGUUCAUGUCCUUUGGUAUACUUACUGGUUCAUUCUUGGUUCAAUAUGCUUGGGAAUCAAAACAAGAAAACACUAGAUAUUUGUGAGACCCCAGAUAGUCCUAUAUAUAAAAUAUAAUAGGACUAAAACUCUUAGCUCGUCUUAAACAUUUUGGGUAGUGGCUAGGUCCAAGAGGUUAAGAGAGUUAAGUAUGCUAGGACGAAAGUAGUCUUAGGAUGAAUGACUCUCUGGAAAGUUGGUACGUCAUAGUUGGUAUCAGUGCCAAUUACCAGUCGGAAGUAUAAGAUGAGUCUCGACUGAGCCAAAAUUAUACAGCAGGAAGAGCGAAGCUCUCAUACUGUUGACUGUUGUGGGUGAAACGCAGCUAACCACAAGAUGGGUUUAAGCUAGCGAGACAAGUCUUACAUCGUCUGGUACUUUUGAGUAUGAACCGAACGAAAACGUUAGGGCAUGAGGGGAAGAGAAUAUGAGACCCCAGAUAGUCCUAUAUAUAAGAUAUAAUAUGGCUAAAACUGUUAGCCCAAUUUAAGCAUUUUGGGUGGUGACUAAGCCCAAGGUAGGGAUGUAAUGUGGGCCGUGCCGGGCCGGCACGGCCCACAUUUUCCGGGCCGAAACGGGCCGGGGGGCAGCCCGGCACGGCCCGGCCCCAAAAUCGGGCCGUGCCGUGCCGGGCCAAAUUUUUUGGAACCCGGCCCAGCACGGGCCCCCGGCCCGGACUGCACGAGACUGCACGGGCCGUGCCGGGCUUUGGGCCUGUUCUUUUUUAUUUUAUUAAUUUUAUUUAAAAAUAUUUAAAUUUUUUGAAAAAUAAAAAUAUUAAUAUUAAUUUUUUAAAAAAUAAUAUAUAAGUAAAAAAAUUAAAAUAUAUUUAUAAAAAUAUUAAAAUUUUAAAUUUUAAAUUAAAUUAUUUAAAAAUUUUAAAUUUUUUAGACAAAAAUACCAUCCCAACAGUCAAAUUUUUGACUGUGGAGAGGACUUUUCGUCAGCCACCUCCAAAGCAAGCCCACUCCCAAAAGCGAUGGGAGUUAUGCCUGCAGAAGGCUCGGAACCAACUCCCAAGGUUGGUUGCCCAAUCCAAGUUGGGUUGCCCAACUGGGUGCUGCAGAGCCUAGGGCCCGGCUGGAGCCUGGCCACCGGGCCGGGCCGGGCCGUGCCGGGCCGGGCCUGGGUCCUUGCCGCAUGGUAGACUAAUGUGUGCCGGGCCGCGGCGGGCCAUCGGGCCGCGGAGCGAAGGCCAGCACGGCCGAUAUUAACUGGUAGUGGCCGGGCCAGGCACGGACGCAUACGCUAGUGCGUGCCUGCCUGGCCGGCCACUCUCAAGCCGGUGCCGGCGGGGGCCCCGCGCGGGCUCCCGCGCGGACGCACGGCGUUUGACAUCCCUACCAAGAGGUUAGAGAGUUUUUUUUUUUUUUUUUUGAGAGAGAGAGAGAGAUAGGUAGCACGCUACCCGCUUCGUUUAUUUUAUUUAAAAAUAAACUUAGCCGGAAAUGUGAAUCAACUAGGAUUCGAACUUUGGACCUCGGGUAUCAACCACCAAGCUCUUUACCACUUGCUCUAGGGAAGGUCGGUAAGAGGUUAAGAGAGUUAAGCGUGCUAGGACGGGAGUAGUUCUAGGAUGGGCAACCCCCUGAGAAGUUGGGUCGUCACGAUAUCAACUUUUUAGAUAAUUUGAUAAAAUCUAGCGUGUAAUAACUAGUUAAAAAAAUGAAUGUAACAUACAGAAAUGGUUGUUUGAGUUCAGAUAGUCUUUUUCACCUUCACAUUAAUCUUCAGAGCAACAUUUGCCAGAUAUUGUUUGCAAACCCUGAAGACAUGCUUUGUUAGACAGCACUGUGAUAUUAAUCCCAAAUCUGUCUCACAAAUCCUCUUGAUAUCACCUAUACAUAAAAAAAUCAUCAUAGACUUGAUAUUGUAAAUUUAUGCAGAUAAUCAGACAUUAGAAUAGAUUUGCAAAAAUUGCUAUUGUAAAUUUAUGCAGUCAAUCAGACAGUAGAGUUGGACAAUUGAUAUUGUAAAUUUACAGUUGGACACUACAGUUGAUUUGAGAAGUAGGGUAUACCAUACAAAGAACCAUUUUGGUCAGGCAAGAUAGCUAUUAGUAGCUCCAAAUCCUUCCCCUUACUUUUGGCUGAUGCACGAUAAACCUUCUUGAGAGCCUCUUCGACUUGUUCCGGGCAGGCUGAGUAUAUUGGAAUAACAGGUUCAGGACUGAAUUCCUAAGUAAAGGAAGAGUUUAUAAUCACACUAAUAGUACCAAUAUUAAUUAGCUACUGAUUGAUGUUGGAUAAUGAAGAUAUAUAUUAGAUAGUGGGAUCACCAUGCCAGAGACUUGGCACAUUUCAGCCAGCUCAUGACAGAAACCAUGUGCAACAUUCUCUUGGAUGGUCCAGGAAAAAUUAAUGCACGCCCAUCGAGCUACUUUGCUUCCAUUAAUCAUUUUCUGUUACACAAAACAUAAAAGAAGUAAGAAUAUGUAAUGACAUUAGUACCUUCUCCUAUAUGAAUAAAUAGAGAAUGUGGUGAAAAAGGUAUUGCCUUGUUCUUCAUAUUCCACUGACCAACAUGAGGUAGACACUGCUUUUCUUUUCCAGCAUCAUGAUAUUUAAGCUAAAAACAUACACAUUUGAGUUUCAUAUUAAUCAGAUGUUGUGAAGGAAACAAAGAUUGGUAAAACAUAUGAGUAGGAACAAGAAUCAGAGAACUACCCAAGGUGGAGGAAGGAUUCGAGCCUCAAUGCAGGCCAGUUUCUCACUGAUUUUGAUUCCAAAUUCCUUUGCAUAUGGAUCUCGAUGAUAGGCAUUAUGUUGAACAGUCUGUGGCACGAGCAUACAUAAUAAAACAAGAAGUUAUUGCUUCUUAUACUUAAAGGUAAACCAGCAAUAUCAAGUAGAAAUCUCGAUCAGAAAAAAAAAGAUUAUACCACUACAAACUAAUUAUUAGGAUAAGAAUUUUGGGGAAAAAGGCACCUUCAGAAUAUCAUUUUCCCUUUCCUUAGGCCUCUGGCAUGCUAUUUUAAGCAAUGCUGUGAUUUGCUUCUCGUUCAGCCUCUUUGUAUAUCUUUGUCCCUCCAGGAUUUUGCAGGCCUGUAAAGUAGCAUGUCAACAAUUAACCACAUGAGUGAAGGGCAACAGGAAAAAGAAAGAUUCUGGUAUUACAAUGUAAGAAAACAACCUCCAUGGGCAAAUACUUGACUUUUGUCUGAUUCCCCACUUGAAGGCAAGGUAGGUGUGUAUACUCAAUGGCGAAUCCAUACAUUUCUUGAAAGUAAUCUACGACGGACAUCAUGGAGUGGUCCUCAACCGGAAAUCUACAAAAUUUAAAUGCAACAAAUGAUAAAACUAACAUAAAGUUGAGUAUCUCUAAAGAAAUCAUGUAUACGAUAGAAAAAAUUCCCGUCGGUAACAAUUAGCAGGCAGCAGCAUCAUCGAGUGAUAGGACAAAACUUACAUGAGUUCAUUUGUAGGCUGUGAUGUUAAACCAGAUAUACGGUAUUUCCUUCGUACGUGCGCUCUGUGUACGACUUCAACUUUCACACCAGUAAGUGCCCUUUUAAUCUAAUAGCGAACUUUUGAGAUGAGCAGACAGUUUAACUAGCAAAAAGGAGGUAGUAGCAGUACUGAUGUUGAAGUAUUAAGUUAUACAUUACCUUGAGAUGAUCAGAAUCAGAUAACGGCCUUGUUAAUGCACCCUUUCCCAAUAUUUGAGCAACAAAAUCAAUUACAGGCAAGGGCUCGAUAAAUGCCGCUGCAGACGUGUCUAAAAAGGACAAAUUUAGAAGACACAAUAACUGUAAGCGUCAAAUUCAUUGAUUCCAUUUAGUGGCCGAAUGAAUAUCGUUUGAUCAUAAUAUUAAGUCACACACCAAUAUUUAGGGACAAGCCCAUCUGAGUGGGCCUUAUACUCUGAUAAAACCCACACCAUGCCUCUAAACCAUCACCAAGCCGCUGAGGUGUUCUAAAAUCUGAAGAGAAGAAUGAUCUCCCAAUAGGAUAGUACCUUAAACAGAGACAGAGCUAAUCGGUGAAUACAGGAAAUAUUUCUUAGACAUAAAGAAGUACCAUGAGAGAAGAUUAUGUCUAUGUUGGAUCACCACCUCUUAUCUGAAAGUUGUCUCAGAACAAUGUCCAGAACUUGAAGAGCCUCCUGUGGAGCUGCUGCAUGCUUACCUGCUAAAAAUUGGCCUAGGUGGUGCAAAUUCGCUUUUCCCACAAACUUGAUGGCCACUUUGUAUUCUCUUAUGCUACAGCUUAAUUAAUAUUUGGAACAACAUUAGGACAGCAGGUAAAUCAAACAGAGGGGGUUUGACAAACUAAUUGGAAGGUAAUUCACAUAUCAGCAACCCAACUUUUGCUUAUCUUUUAAGCUCCAAUUGCCUCUUUUACAGGCAGAAAAGACUGAAGCUUCUACCGCUGUGGGAAGCCCCAAAAACAAAGGCUCCAAUUUGGAGCUUCUUCUUCUACCGCAAAGAGAAAUUGUUGGGGAAAAUCCACCUAGUGCUUCUCUUAAUAGCACUACAAAAACAGCAGUUCCUCUAACAGCAUAACAACUUACAACGGGGCCUAAAGAGGAAUAAAAUAGAGAACAAAGAGAAUGCAUCUAAGCAUGUUGUUAUCAAGGUCAAGGAACUUCAUGGUAACAAUAAAGAUUGUGAGAUGUGAAUAAAUGACCAAAAAAAAAAUCAAAAAAAUCCUUACUUGGGGCCAUUAAUUCCAUCUUCUUCGUCGACGACCUUAAUUCCGAAUUCCCUAUAAAAGAAAGGGAGCUCUCCAGCUGUAUAAAGACUCUUCCUGCCAUCAUAAGCAGGCAACCUCAUUCCAAGGUCAGAUUCUCUGUACAGUUUCACAAGCUCCGCGAUGAUGCUUCUGUUCACAGCGCGCGAGGCAUCCUCGGGGGUUAUCGUUACCUCAACAAAUGAAAUGAACAGCAAGCAUGGAGACCAGCCCAAUUAAUAUAACCAAUCCACACAUCUUAUAAUGGCAUUGAAAUAGGUAACAAAAUUUAGAACUCGUCAAACAAGAACCCGAAAUGAGAAAUGUACAAAAGGAUUAGAUAUAUCUCACGUCAUAAUGUGCCAAAUCUUUGUCGGGUAGCUCGGUGAGAAAAUGAUUAGCCUUUACAAUACAUCUAGUCCCAGCUCGCCCAAGCCCAGGUCUUGAGGGAAACCUGAGAGUCUUGCUUGAAGAAGGAAGAGGAAUCUCUGCAGCUUCUCCCAAACAACUUCUACUCUCUAAACAACAGCUACCUGGAAUUUGGUAUUCAAUUGCCGGCUUCGAAGUGGAAGAGUCUCCUCCUCCUCUUCUUCUUGUUCUGCUGUCUCUGUUUUUAGAAGUAGAUGGGGCUGGGCUCUGCCAUUUGCCAUUAGAAGCCUCUUGAAAGGGGUUCAUAGGAUUGCACUCCUUGGUUUUAAUCACAAGGUGAAGUUCUGGGCUUUCUUUCUUCUGUUUUAUGGGCAUGGUUGCUUAUACUAAGACCUGGAAUAGAGAGAUUAGAAGAAGAAGAAGAAGAAGAAGAAGAAGAGGCCAAGUUAGAGGUGGUCAUUGUCAAGUUAAUAAAGAACCACUAUGAAUGUAAACUAGAGAGAGAAAGAGAGAGAGAGACGGGGGUGGGUGGGUAAUGGUGGUGGGUACACAAGGUGUUAAACAUGAUAUUUGCUUGCAUAGACAAGAGUACAUUUGUUCAUCAAAAUGACUUAAUGAUUGAUCAGGAUCAGGAUCAGGAUCAGGAUCAGCAUCAGCAUCACAAUACUAUCCUAGUUCGAACCUCUGAUUGCCUGAAACUCUUUCCCUGGCAAUGCCAAAACCUCACAAACCCAUAUAUCUCAAAGAUUUAAAAAAAAGGGGAAAUGGUAGUAAAUAUUUGGGCCUUUUCACCAUACAUCAGUUCAAUAAUGCUUGGAACAGUUCAGAAUCUUAACAAAAUUUCAUUUCACCAGAAAAAUUUAACCAGAAAAAAUAGAGAGAGAGAGAGAGAGAGAGAGAGAGAGAGAGAGAGAGAGAGAACACAUUACCGUUCAAACUGAAGACCUUAGGCCCCACACAACAGUAAAUAAGCAAUGGAUGAACAGCAAGGAAAGAAGAUCGGUAGAUAGAGCAUGCAAUAAACUGCAAAACUACAAGCCCAAAGCUAGAACACAAAGGGUGAGCAAAAUAAACAAGCGCACAACCCCCCUGAUGCAGUUCCAAAAGGCCAAAGCAUCCAAGAAGCAUCAAAAACUCGCCAACCCAGAAAAAGCAGCAAGGAGACAAACACUCGCAAACACAUGCAAAGAAAAGCCAAGCUCCCCUGAACAGUUCAGAACAAGCAGAUACAAACAAAAACCCACCUCGCAAGUAGCUAGAUAGAAGAGGAAAAAAGGCCAACCAAAGUACCCAACUACUGACUUAGCCACUCAAUGCUAACACAACCCAAACAAUCCCUUCCCCUGUAAUUUAUAACCGAAUAAAAUUAAAAUAACCAGCGCUAAAGAGCCUGUCAAAGCCUCAAAGGUGGGCCUGAAAGCGAUGCGAUGAUGAGUAAGAAGUAAAGCAGCAGCCUGAGGGCUCCGUGGUUGAUACCCGAUAUCUCAAAUUCGAAUCAUAAUUGAUUCGUAUUUUUAGUUAAGUACAGAGAGUGUAAGAAGAUGAAAAAAUAGGGUAUAUACCAAUUUUGGAUGGGAUUUUUUUUGUUAUAUUUUACCAAUUAACAUUUGCCCCAUUAGCAGCAUCUCGUAUUAAAUCUUGUCAUCUAAUAUUAUUUUUAAGGAUAAAAUUUUAAUUAAAAUAUAAACAGAAAAUAUUAUGAAUUAAUUAUAAAAAAAUAAAUGUUAAUAAAAAGCUGUGGAAGUUAAUCAUUUUUUUUUUUAUUCUUGUCAUCUUUAAAAGUCCAUAUUGAUGCUUCAGCCAUUUAGUAUUAUUAAGUUUCUGUUUUAUAUUUUUAUUUUAUUUAGAAAAACUGCGUUGAAUUUUAAGUUUAGGAACUAAAUACUUUUAUACUUAACAGAUUUAUUAUUUAAUAAAUAUAACUAAUUAUUUAUUUCAUUAAUAAUUAUAACAAUAUAAUAUAACUAAUAUUUUCUCAUAUUUAAUAAUAAUAAAACAAUAUAAAAAAUAAAGAAGACACGCCAAAAAAAAAUAAAAUAAAAUAAAAAAAAUCAGUCCCCAUCCCACGCCCCCCUCUCUCUCUCUCUCUCUCUCUCUCUCUCUUUGUAUGGAGAUGACGAGGCAAUGACGACUUAUGCAUUGUCCUUUAAAGGGACUGGUGAUCAGGGCAUGUCACUUCUUUAUCUUUCAAGGGAUCGAGUACACUUAUUACAUUUUUUAAAAAACACAUACUUCACUAGUUUUUUUCUUUUUUUCUUUUUUCCUUAUGGUUAUUGUAAUUCUCUCACAUAUAACUUCCUUUGAAAUCAAAUGUAGAUAAAAAUUCAUAAAAAGAGUUUAGCAAUCUAUCAUAAUAUACACAUAUAUCACGGACUGUUCCUAGGGCAAAUGGCAAAGGUCUUGAUGGUUGAUAUUCGAGACCCAAAUUUGAAUCCUAGUUGAUUCAUAUUUCUAGCUAAGUUUAUUUCUAAAUGAAAUAAACAAAACGGAUAGCAUGCUAUCUAUCUCUCAAAAAAAUAUACACAUAUAUCAUGUAAGGGAGUUUCGGAAGCUUCAAAAAGUACUCAAUCUUUUUUAAAAAAAAUGAUAGUAUGAUGUUUGUUUUGCUCAUCUUUUUAUAAAUAAAUUUAGCUAGAUAUAUAAAGUAACUAUAUUUCGAACUCGGAAUUUCAAGUCAGUGGCGGAUCUACUGUUAUCUCAGUGGGGUCAAUAGACCUCACUGAGAUAGCCAAUAAGUAAGGCUUUAUGUCUUUUUCUGACAUGUUGAUCCUAUUUUGGAAUUAAAAUUGCUCCCAAAAUAGGGUCAACAAAUAGAUAGAUAAUGAUUUUCUCUCAUAAAAAAAGGGUUUGAUAAUUGAUUAAAUCCAGUUAACCUAACAGAGUAAAUUAUGCAACUAUAUGUGUAAUCAAUUAAUAAACGAUUAAUAAUAAGUCGACGGUGAUGCUAUAUAUAUUGUUUUCAGAGUAUGAAAAUACAUUGAGAAUAAUUAUAAACAGAAAUAAUUUAUUUUUUUAUUUAUGUAAUAUUAAUGAGUAAUUUAUUCUUUUAGUUUAGAUUUUUAUGUUUUCUCUUUGUAAUAUAUUUGAUCUUACUAAGAAAAUUUGUAGUUCCGCCACUAUCUCAAGUACCACUUGCGCCAGAAAUAAUCAAUAACUUUUAGGUAUACUUUGUAUUUUAUUAUCAUCAGAAAAGAGAAAAGAAGCACAAAAAUAGUAAAACAUAACACUUGUUUCACUCUUUAAGGGGUGUUUGGUUCCUUCUCCAAAAUCAUGAAAAACUAUUUUUUCAAAAAGUCUAUCAUAGGAAGAAAAAAGUUUUUUAUAGUUAAUUUUUUAUAAAAAAAAAUUAAAAAGAAUCUAAUUUUUGUGUGAACUAAAUAAAUAAAAAAAAAAUUUCUAGUCAUAAACUAUUUUUAAAAAUAUUGUUAGGAAAUCUAACACCCCAUAAAUUAUUGAGAUAGCUAGAGAUGGGUCCAUUAGAGAUGUCAACGGGUCGGAUUCGGGGCGGAUUUUUAAAAACCCGAACCCGAACCCGACUCCAAACCCGAGACCCGAACCCGAACCCGAACCCGACGGAUUUUAAAAAUCCAUAUCCAAACCCGAACCCGAAAAUUUGAACCCGAAACAAUUAUUUCUUUUUUCAAUAUUUCAAAAUAUAUUAUAUUAAAUUUAAAAUUUUAAAAUACAAAUUCAAAUAUAACAUCAAAUUUAUAUAUAUAUAUUAUAUAUAAUACAAAAUAAAUUCGAGUUCGGGUCGGGUUCGGGUUCGGGUCGGGUACAAUCAAAAUCCAUAUCCGAAUCCAUAUCCGUCGGAUUUUUAUUUUUUAUAUCCAUAUCCAAAUCCAUAUCCAUAUCCAUCGGAUAUAUCCGUUUUAUUCGGGUUCGGGUUCGGAUAAAAUUUCGGAUAUCCAUACCCAUUGACAUCCCUAGGGUCCAUCUAACCUCCCACUUUGGAUUGUCCUGCAGCUUUUAGCUUUGUAGCACGUGAAUGAGAUGAGACUGGCACAAUAAGGAACUCUUGCUCUUCUUUUUCUCUUCUUGUUUUUAAACAAAAAGAAAACCUCCUGCGAAAAGCUGUUUUUUUUUUUUUCUUUUCUUUUCUUUUUUUUGUUUGGGUAAAAUACUAAAGUGAUUUUCUGUGCAACACUUUACAGGGUGAAUUUUGAAUAUUCUGAAAUAUUUUACUCUGCUUUUGAGUAUUUGGAUAAAAUACUGUAUUUUUACAGGUUUGAAAUAACGGCUAGUUUUUUUAAAAAAACUUGCCGUUAGUGUUUUCAAAAACUAGCUGUUAGACUAUUUUUAAUCUCAUAUAUAUACUCAAAGGUAAUGAAACUAACCAUUAUGAUAACAUAAAAAUAGUAAAAUAAUUUUAUAAUAUUCAAAAGUGGUAAAAAAACUAGUACUUUUGCUAAAAAUGAUCAUAUUUAUCAUAUAUAAAAUCCCAAUUCACCGUAAUAAUUCUCUUUAGGACAUGCUUCUGAUAACAUAACAGUAGAAAAACAUAAGACAUCUUUCUGUUUCGAUACUUGUUUUUCGUUUCUUUCAUAUCUUUUCUACUCUUUUUUUUAGUUUCUUUCUCUUUUGUUUCGUUAUUCCUCUAGACCCUACCUGUCUCACUCAAUGUAACUAAAUUCAAUUAUCUAAUGAAUAAAGCAUGCAGUGUGCUAUUCAUCUCUCAAAAAAAAAAAAAAAAACGUAAGAUACAAAUUUCUUCCAAAUCAUCUCUAACUAAACUAAACUCAUAUUUUUCCAAGCUCUUCAGUAAAUCCUUGAAUACAGUACAGCGUAGGAUACUAUAAUCAUGAAUUAAACUCAUUAUUUUCAUUAUUUUGCUUUAUUUCCUUGUUUUUUUAACAACAACUCUUAUUUUCUUAAGAAAAUACCAAUCGGGCCUACAUGGGCCUGCAUAUGGACCAGCACUGUCGAUCUUAGGCAAUAAAUGGGCCAAGUAAUGGGCUUUUUACGUUCUGUGGAAUGGGCCAGAGCCCUACUCGGCCUGCAAUAAUGGACCAACAUUUUAUUGUCCUGGGUUAGUGGACCCGCAAAAAGCCCAACUAAACAAAUCUCAUGUUUCAUCACUUGGGUAGAUCCGGCUCAAUAAACAAUCUAAUCACUUUGGCGGGGUCAUAAACUUGAUCCGAACCCUUUGGCUACUUGCGGGCUCGGGUUGGGUUCGCGGGUCAGGCUCCUUAAUUGUCGUCCCUAAAAAUGAAUUUCAAAUUGUUUAUGAAAUUAGGACCAAUGAAGAAUAUCCGGGGAAAUUAGUAGAAUAGUUAAAAAACCCCAGCCGAGAUAUUAUGCAAUUUGUGAUAAAAUCUUUCACUUAGACCAAGUCAUUAGUCUAAGUUAACGAGAAAGGCUUAUUCCAAUUGCAAAUGGGGAUUAAAAAGAAGAUUCCUGCAAUUGCUUGUAUCAACUCGUUUCUAUUUCUUAACCAUUUAAGGGAAAUUAAUUGGAACUCUUUUCUGAGUUCCGGCACUUGGGAAACUCGUUCUUCUUGCUUUGCUUCUGCCGUGAGUGACAACAGAUAUUAAAGUGGUUCAAAAAUAAAUUGUUAAUACGUGACUACAAGCAAUUAUGUUUAGUCAGCAAAUCUUAGUUGGGAUACAAAUUCUACAUAAUAUUAAUAUUGCGAGUUUCGUCGUGAUUUUUACGAAAAUGUUGUGAUUACUUAUAGAAAAACUUACAAUAGCAACAAUGUCUAUAUUUUUUUACGAGAUUCCUGGAGUUUUAUCUGCUGCUCUCGCUUUAUCUUUUAAUCAGACACCGCCUAAUGCUUUGACCAUUUGCAACUUUUGAAAGAUAGAAAGAUUAUUCGUUGUGUAUAUGCUCACUCAUAUAUCACGAAACUAACUUUUUAAUACAAAAGAAAGAAUCAUAAUGUUGUCUUAAAGGUGUGAUGGGAGCAGCCAACUUUGAAUUCAAAAUAGAAGGACAAGAGACAGUUACACUUUUCAAAGUAAUAGGCCCCAGCUCUCUCUAAACCAAACAAUAUAAAAAAUACUGAUUAGUGAUUACCUAAACACUCUUUUGAGUCCUAAUCCAUGUUCUCUUACACAGAUGAGGCCAACACAGCAUUGUCCACGUUCAUCCUCCCCUCAGCAGCACAUGCCCUUUUGCUUCUUUUUUUUUUUUUUAUAAACUCAAUUAAUGAACACAUCCCUAAUGCCGUCCAUAUACAUCCAACAAACGCUUUCCGCGAACAAGCUCCCUACGAACGCAUUAACAACAGCACGAUCUGUGUCGCCCCACUCUACUUUUAGUCCCACAUUUUUCUUCUUUAAAAGGGCCCCAAGAGAAGAGAGAGAAGAGGUGAGGAAGAAGAAGGGAAAUAAAAACGAAUAAGGAAAAAAAGAAAAAAAAAAAAAAAACUUCGACCUUUCCUCCAUCUAUGGCUUCCAUGGCGACCUCCUUCUCCAAAUCCCCAUCGUCGACCCACGCAUGCCCUAAUUCCUCCAAACCCUACCUCCGAUCUCGCCCCUACGUCACUCUCCCCAACCUCUCCGCCCCAUUAGCGACCCAACGGAUCCGCGCCGCCGCCGCGCCCCCCGCCGCUGCCGCUUGCCGCUCCACAACUUCCUGGAGCUGCUCGAACCGAGCCUCCUGGAGCUUGAUCGAGCCCGACGGGGGGAAGCUGGUGGACCUGGUGGUGGCGGAGGGGGCGGCGAGGGAGGCGAAGCGGAGGGAGGCGGAGGCGUGCCCUAGGGUUAGGCUUAACAGGGUCGACGUGGAGUGGGUGCACGUGCUCAGCGAGGGGUGGGCGAGCCCUCUCCGGGGAUUCAUGAGGGAAGCCGAGUUCCUCCAAACGCUUCAUUUCAACUCCCUCCGCCUCGCGGACGGGUCCCUCGUAAACAUGUCCGUGCCCAUCGUCCUCGCCAUCGACGACGCCCAGAAGCGCGCCAUCGGCGACCGCCGCAAGGUCGCCCUCGUCGACCCCAACACCAAUAAGCCCAUCGCCAUCUUAAGCGAGUAAGGCCCCUUUUACUCGAGCUCUUAAAGUUUUUUGCUUUACUCGUUUUUAUGUAUCGAUCGAUGGGCUGUUCAUGACAAUGUCAUGUUCAAUGACGAUGAAUGGAUCUGCUUGAAUGCUCGUGUGUUUAAAUUUGUUGUGUGUUCGCCUUAUCUUACAAAAUUUACUGAAGAAGCUGCUCUGCUAUUGUUUCUCAUAGUUGAGUUCAUGUUCAUAUUCAUGUUUUGCUCUUACUUAGAAGACGAUUUACUAUAAGUCUGGCCUAAUUUGCUUUAAUAGUGUGUUAUGACAAAAAAUUCUUCUUUAGCUAUUGAUAUUAAAAGUUUGACAGAGACAAGUGUCUUCUACAAUUGUUCGGCUAUUUGAGACUUAGGGUCUCCUGCUUGUUUUCGUACUAUCGUAGUUUACUAGUAGUUUUGACCGCGCGAAUUAAAAUAUACAUCCUUUUGGACUGCCAAGGCUAUCGUGCUGCUAUAUAAUAUAUUCACGAACCUAGGGCACGAACUUAUGGAGAAUACGGAAUAACGGCCAAAUUAAUCCGGGCCUCAUGUAUGGAUGGCUUCUUUGAGAAGAAACUGCUGGUAGACCACUUGAGCUGCCGCGUGGACCCAAUCGACGAGAAAAGGUAAGCACGGAUUUGAGAACCGCUGUAUGCCAAUCAGCACACUUUCGUGGUCCUUUCUUUCAAGAUACUAGCGCGCCAAUAUAUAUAUAGAUGGGCCCCAUAAAGCGAAUGUAUUAGUCGUUCAACAAAUAGUCUUCGGAGGCGAUAUUGGGUUAUUCGAUUUUUUUUUUUUUACAACAUUCGUCAAUGUGGACCCCAUCAUAAUUGUGUUGGUCUUUUAGGAUAUGUAGCUUGUGUUUUAUUCUUGUUGAGUUCUAUUAUAAUAUUAUGUUUUCCUAAGGCCAUUUAGUUUGCCAAUAGAACUAUGAAACCUAAUGCUUAUGUGUGGUGAUAGAAUACCCAUCCUCGAUUAUAAUUUCGUAACGAGAAAAGAAUCGAGCGCUUGAAAAUUCUAAAUUAAUGUUAGAACUAUGCCUAAUUCCAUUUGUUAUGUGCCUAUGAGAAUCCUGUUUAUGAGAUUUUGAAGAUUAAUUGGCGACCCAGAAGGUAGUAUCUCUAAACCCGGAUUUCUCAUCUCGUGCCCAAGUUUCCUUGGUUUGGGCAAGGGAUUUGCUUCCUCAGCGAUUCAGAUGUUGUUAAUAGCUUGUUGUCUGAUUCUACCGGGUCACACCAUAGGUCCUUUUCAAGGAGACAUGUUUCAGGGAAAAAGAAAAAAAAAGAGAAGCCAAUUUAUGGAUAUUGCUGAUGAAAUGGGCAUAUAUCUAAUUUCGUGAGUGUCUAAUUCAGGUGCAUUAUCUAAGACUGAUAGCAUCAAUGCCUUAGUUAAAUAUACACAACAUAUUUCAAACAAAUUAAAGCAGUUUCCUGUUUUUCACUUGUUAAAAAAAAAAAUCCUAAAAGACACUUGGAUUUGCAUUUGAUUUAUCAUUAGUGUUCUUCAAAUAUUUUUCUUCUUCGAAGACUUUGAGGUUAUUAUGAGAUUAUAAGCAAUACUGGGUUAAGUGUCUUGUCUUUUGCUAGCAUUUAGCUAUUCAGUAUUCACCUUGUGAAGCUUUUAUGACGCUCUGUAAUUCUUCAAAAAUGUUGGGUACUGAAUGAAAAAUGCCUUACGUCAAUAAGUCACAUGUAUCCUUAGAAUAAUUGUUUAGAAUGAGUUUUAUGAGCCCCUUCAUGAUCUAUAUGCUGAAAAUUGUUGUUUGAAAGCCAUCAUGAUAUCUUUAUGCAGAUGCUUUGAUAUUAAUUGGUGAAAUAAAUUUCUUUCCCUUGGAAUUACCAAAGUAACCCUUCCCACAUUUCUAUUUUUCUUUAGCAUGGAGAUCUACCAUCACAAUAAAGAGGAAAGAAUCGCAAGAACAUGGGGAACAACCGCUCCUGGACUACCAUAUGUUGAAGAAGCUAUCACCAAUGCUGGAAACUGGUUGAUCGGUGGGGACUUGGAAGUAAUUGAGCCGAUCAAGUACAAUGAUGGUCUUGAUCAGUAUCGGUUGUCACCUGCACAACUACGCGAAGAGUUCUCCAGGCGCAAGGCUGAUGCUGUAUUUGCUUUCCAGCUACGGAAUCCUGUACACAAUGGCCAUGCUUUGCUCAUGACUGAUACACGUAGGCGCCUUCUCAAAAUGGGCUACAAAAACCCCAUUUUGUUACUUCAUCCCUUGGGAGGCUACACCAAGGCUGAUGAUGUGCCUCUUUGUUGGAGAAUGAAGCAACAUGAGAAGGUUCGUAUGCACAAAUCAUUAUUGUUCUCUGUUUUUUCUUUAUUUCUUUUUUCCUUUUCUGUUUCUUCUUCAGAAGCAAUGUAUGGAAUGACCUUGUACAAUUCCCAUAUUGUAGCUGGGUCUAUUUAAUUCUCAUUAAAUGCUUCAAUCCCUGAAGUUAUAAAAUUCCAUAAAAAUCUUCUUUUUUUUUUUUUUUAAUUCUUGUGUUAUAUAACACCAUUUGACCCCUACUCUUGUAAAAUGUUUUCCUUGUUUCAGUUUAUAUGAAACGGAAUUAAAAGGUCAUUUUUCAGCAGAAGUCCACAAAGGAUAUCAUUGCAAUACAUGUAAUAAUUUAAGGAUUAAAGAGUUGAAGUGCUAAGUUCAUAUCCUUGAUGAACGAAGCAGUGGCAAGCUACCUUUUCUCAAACCAAGAAAAAAGGGUUUAAGCAGAAAUUUGGGGUCCAAGUCAAAAUGUUGAGAACUUGAGAUAGUACAGGAGAAUAUUUUAAUCUCCAUUUUAAUAAAACUGCUAGAGUAAUAUUGUCUAGAUUAGUACCAAAUCUGCAAUAAGUCGUUAAAUUUUUUUUUCCCCCUCCUUAUUGGUUUUGUUGCUACAGGUUCUGGAGGAUGGUGUUCUUAAUCCAGAGACAACAGUUAUUUCAAUAUUUCCUUCUCCGAUGCAUUAUGCUGGCCCAACUGAGGUGCAAUGGCAUGCAAAGGCGCGCAUAAAUGCUGGUGCAAACUUCUACAUUGUAGGAAGAGACCCAGCUGGUAUGAGCCACCCUGUUGAAAAAAGAGAUCUCUAUGAUGCUGAUCACGGGAAAAAGGUAUUAAGUAUGGCUCCUGGACUUGAAAGGCUCAACAUCCUACCCUUCAAGGUUUGUCAUCCUUUGACAACUCUUGUCAUUUUCUGUUAUUUUGCACACUCCAAGAUUAAAUGCUCGCUGCUUUCAUAUCUUCUAAAUUGUCUUCCUCAUAGCUAACCAUGCUUUAUUUUCACGGCCCCACAUGAUGUGAUUUUGUUUUCAAUAUGUAUUUAGGUGGCUGCGUACGACAAAAAACAGAGGAAGAUGAAUUUCUUUGAGCCAUCAAGGAAAGACGAUUUUCUCUUCAUCUCCGGUACAAAGGUACUGCUCUGCAAUGUGAAAAUAUUGGAAUCAACUUUUGAACACGAGCUAACUUGUCCCCUUUCUUUUUCCCCUCCAAAUUGAUCUCAAAGCAACCUUGUUUAUCUACGCAGAUGCGAACUCUAGCAAGAAAUAGAGAAAACCCCCCUGAUGGCUUUAUGUGCCCGAGUGGUUGGGAAGUACUCGUCAAAUACUAUGACAACUUGGCUCCGGGCCACAAGGUGAGAGAAACCGUCCCUGCUUGAAACUUGUACAGCUCUUGGGACUGCUGCAGCUUGAAAACAAUAAAUCCAGUACGUUUACAAGAUGAGCCGACCAAAUAAACUUGUAUCUACAUGCGGCAUAACUGAUGAUUUGUAAUUUGUGUGUCAAGAGGACCUGUCUGUAUCUGUCACAGGUGAUGAUUGUGCUGCCGCAGCACAUUUUGCUAUUGUUGUUGUACAUAAUAGUAUGUGUGCUUGUGGGAUCUCAAAUAUGUAACUGGAGCAAGUAGGCAUUUGGUUAGGGUUUCUAUGAGAUCAGCAACAACAUGUGAGAGGAAGAAGGAAAAGUAGAAUAUUACUAUCUAUACAUUUACGAGUAGCUAUAAAUCUUGCGCCUCUCCCAGUCAAUGAUUUAAAAACUUUUUUUUAAAGUUUUUAAUAUUGUAAAAAAAAAAAGUUUGAUAAGAAUGAUAAAAUAAAAUCGGCUUUUGGAUAGGUAUGGUGUAAGAUUUAUGCUAUACUAGUGGGUGUUUAGGUGGCAUUGCUUGAUAAAUUAAUAAAUGUGACUUGUAUUUGGAUAAUUUGCUGCGGUAUUAUUCCCUUGAAAGCAAAAGGACUUGUAGCUUAUUUUUGGUCCGAUGAGAAAUUGGUAUUGGUUGGUACUUGAAUGGAUCUUUCUAGGGCCGAUUACUAGUAUGCUCUUUGAAAAGAUUGAAAAAGGCAUAUACAAUAUACAUAUAAGAAAAAUAAAUAAAUAAGAAUUUGGGCAGACGCUGUGGAAUAGUCGUCGAUCGAAUAGAUGUGAAUGUUAUCGUUAUAAUAGCAAUCCAACGAUACUCGUUUGAUUCUCAUAUAUAUACGUUCAAUUAGAUUAAGACUAUGCUGUGCGUAUAGAGAUGCUUUUGUAUUGGAGCUAGUUUGUGGUCUCCCUACAGGACUUUUGUCCUUGCUGCUGCGUAGCAAAACAAAUUCUGUAAGCGCUUUGCAUCAAUUUCAUGGCUAAUGAGAUCGCGAAGAUAAUACUCAGUUAACUCUAAUUAACACAUCCUAUCUAACCGCAUAAAAAAGAAAGAAGAAAACCAAUAACAAAAAUAAAAAAGAUUUGAUCAGUACUGUCAACCUUCAACAAGUUAGGUAUUAAUUAAGGUCUGAAUGGUGUAGUACGUGCAUAAAUUAAUUAAUAUGCAGGAAUAUGCCUUUUUAGGGGAAAAGGCGCGUUGGAUCGACCGGAUCAGUUUGUUAAAAUUAACUUCAGGUAACCCAUAAAUCCACUCGAGUAAUUACCAAAAGUAGGGUUCAAUUAACCACGACCGUACGGACGCUCAUUCGUACUCUUUCCAUAAACAAAAUCUUAUCACUGCCGGGUAGAUCUUCUGCAUUAGAGUUGUUAAACGCAGGAAAUCCCACAAUUCCAAGACCAAUUAAUUCCCACAAAUUAAAAACGAUGUUCAUGCAUUUGAGACCUUCUACGAAGAAGGUGCAUGCACGAGGUGAUCUGUAUAUAUAUAUAUAAAUAUAUAUAUAUAUAUAUAUAUAUAUAUAUAUAUGCCCCUCUUAUUAACUUCUCUUAUAGCAUAUCCCCUCCCACAAAUACGGCCAUCAAUUUCCAACAUGAGAAGUAAAGACAGUUCCUCUUUUUGCUAAUGGGUAGGAGAAGUGAUCAUCGUAUUAUGUGUUGGCAUAUAAAAGUAGACGUACAGUGUACUUUGGCCUUUUCUCUUCUCCGCCCCUAUAUAUUUGGAGGGGGCCCUCCCCUUGUAAACUCAUAGGAAGUGGGAACAGGAUUACCGCACUACUGUUUUCUUCUUCUUCUUUAGGUUUGAAUAACUCUUCCUCUUAUCACUUCAUGUACGAGGAGAUAUACAUAGCCCGAGAGAUCGUCGAUCUCCAUAUAUAUAUAUAUAUAUAUAUAUAGCUAGCGUUGUUAAACUCUCUCUGUCUCCCACCUUUCAAUUACACUGCUGCAUUGAGAUAAUUAAGAAAGAAGCAACUAUGCGAUAGAGGGCGCAUGCAUUCUCAUUCUCAUUCUCAUUCUCAGUGCGAUGCAUGCAUAUGAUAUGGACUCGUCACGUGUAACAGUAAUAGUAUCCGACGACGACGUAGAAGUAGAAAAAGCAGCAGCAGCAGCAAGAAGCUCGAUUACAAUGCCGAGCCCACUGCAGGGAGGGCGAAAGGGCGAUGGUGAUGAGAAGAAGGUGAGGGUGGCGGUGGAGGGCCCGAUCAUAGUUGGGGCGGGUCCGUCGGGGCUGGCGGUGGCGGCGUCGCUGCGGGUGCUGUCGGUGCCGUUCGUGGUGGUGGAGCGGUCGGAGGGGCUGGCGGAGCUGUGGCGGACGCGCACGUACGACCGGCUGUCCCUCCACCUCCCGAAACGCUUCUGCCACCUCCCCCACCUCCCCUUCCCCCGCCAUUUCCCCACCUACCCUUCCAAGUCCUACUUCCUCCACUACCUCCACUCCUACGCCUCCCGCUUCCGCCUCGCCCCGCACUUCCGCCGCGCCGUCACCCACGCGCGCUUCGACCGCGCCCUCUCCCUCUGGCGGGUCACAGCGCUCGAACGCCGCGGCGCUGCUGACCCCAGCCCCAGCCCCAGCCCCAGCUCCAGCUCGAACUCGACUUCGGAGGAGUACGUGGAGUACGUGGCGCCGUGGGUGGUGGUGGCGACGGGGGAGAACGCGGAGGCGGUGGUGCCGGAGACGAAGGGGAGGGAGCUGUUCACGGGGAGGGUGGUGCACUCGAGCGAGUAUAGGAGCGGGGAGGAGUACAGUGGGGGGAAGGUGUUGGUGGUGGGCUGCGGCAACUCCGGGAUGGAGAUUUGUUUGGACCUCUGCGAGCACGGCGCCAUGCCUUUCAUGUCGGUGAGGAGUGGGGUAUGUCUAUUAAAAUCACUGCACUACUAUACUCUACUCUCUCUUUUGGUACAUGUAAAUACUACACCAUGUCAUUACUUUGCAAGUUUGUAUUUUGUUACCCUCGACUCGAUCGUAUCGUAUGUAUAUAUUGUAAUUAAUAAUAUAUGGGUGGUCCUUUAGCUUUUGCACUAAAAUAAUAGAAAAGCAGGAGGUUAGAUUCUAUAGAUUCUAACAUGUACAUAUGUUUGAAUUGUUUUUUCUUUUUUUUCUUUUUUUUAUAAGGUGCAUUUGCUGCCGAGAGAUAUGUUCGGAACCUCAACAUUCGGAUUGGUGACGAAGCUGCUGCAAUGGCUGCCCAUUAAGUUGGUUGAUAGGAUUUUGUUGUUAGCUGCGAAAAUGGUGCUGGGAGAUACGGAGAAAUAUGGGCUCAAGAGGCCAAAUUUGGGACCUUUGGAGACCAAACACAUUACCGGAAAAACCCCUGUUUUAGAUGUGGGAACUCUCGCCUUAAUCAAAGCUGGAAAGAUUCAGGUACGUAGUUUAUACUUUAUUAUAUAUAUAUAGCCCUUAAAUUCUGUUACAAGCUACCUUUCCUCCUUUGGUUUUUCCUUUUUUUAAUCGAAGACGAUACUUGUCCCUUACCUUUACGGCUUUACCUCAUUUUGAUUGAUUCUUAAUUUAAAACUUUAAAUUAUAUUUCAAAAGAAUAAUACUAGGUUUUUCACCUCCUAAAACUAUUCCUUAAUCACUUUUUAUUAAAUUGAUAGUUUGGGUUAUAUGGUUUCAGAGUCGGUCCUAAAUCCCUCAUUGUUCCAAAAAGUUUUGAACUUUUAUACUCAAAUCUGCUAUCUUGCAAUACAUAUUUCUAUUUUAUUGACGAAAAACUAGACCAUUUCACCUCAGGGAGGAAGUGUAAAUUUUUUUAAAAAAAAUAAUAUAAAAUAAUUAUUUCUUUCUAAAAACUUAAAUAUUGGCGUACAGUAUUUUAAUACUUUUAUUUUUAACAUUUUAAUUUUACUUGAGAACCAGCAACUUAAACAACUAUCUGCAUAUCCUAAAAACAUUUACCUCAAAUAUACAAAUUCGCUUCAUUCUACUCUCUCUCUCUCUCUCUCUCUCUCUCUCUCUCUCUGUUGCAAAUUUGUAAACUUGCCUCCUCUGUUUCCCCUGCUGAAAACUUCAGAUAGUACGUGAGGUGGAGUCACUGACAAGCAAUGGGGCCAGGUUUGUCGAUGGAAGUGAGAAGAGAUUCGACGCUGUGAUCUUUGCAACUGGUUACAAGAGUAAUGUCCCCUUGUGGCUCCAGGUAAAAACACUUCUUUGACCCAUUAGUGCACAUACUGAAAAAAAAAAAGUUUGUCUUGUUCUGACUGUUAAGACUAUUUCUAGACCGCUCUAUAAUAGAAUUUAGAUAAGACGGUAACAGAGUUAGUUCUAAAGUUUCUCUGUUACAAUUAACAUUGAAAUUUGAAUUUAUUUGUCACAUCUGCCAUUAUAUGGCAUGUUUUGAUUCAUUAUAUUGUUAUUAUCUUUUUCAUCAUAUCUCCGGAUCUGGCACAAUUUGUCUGACCCUUACCAUAUAUGCAUGUACUAGAUUGAUUUAAUAUAUAAUAAUCUAUGUAUAAUUAAUUAAUUGCAGGACUGUGACUUCUUCACAGAGGAUGGUAAGCCCAAGAGCCCAUUCCCCAAUGGUUGGAAAGGAGAGAACGGGCUCUACUGUGUUGGGUUCACAGGGAGAGGGCUUCAUGGCGCCGGGCAGGACGCAGUUAAAGUUGCUCAGGAUAUAGCUCAGAAAUGGACCAAUCUUAGCCACAACAACAACAAUAACAACAACAACAACAACAACAACGCCGUUACAUAAACUAUAUAUAUAUGACCCACUAAUUACUUUAGUGCUUGUGGAGAGAGAGGUUCUAAUUAAGAUAGACCAAAAGAAUAAUUCUUUUGAAUGGUGGCCAAAGUAAUUAGGAACUGUGCGAAGAUCUUCUUGCUUUUACUGUUACUACACCUCCACACGUCUUAAAUUUUGCAUAGGAUCUUCUUUUCACACACACACACACACACGCGCGCGCGCACACACACACACACAUAUAUAUAUAUAUAUAUAUAUAUAUAUAAUAUAUAUAUAUAUAGAGUAAAUCUUGUAUGAUAUUAGGAGCACAGAGGUCUCUGUACUUCUAACCCGUUUUCAAUGAUGAAGUUUCCGAAUUGACGAUCGGCUCCAUUAAAUUUGAUCUAACGUAUUUGAAGUAUCUAAAAAAUAAAUUUUACGGUUUUUCGACAUCAUUUAACUACCAAUCGAAAGGGUUCAAAAUCAACGGUUGAAAAUAAAAAUAUCACAAAAAUAGUGAUAUAAUAUUAAAAUUUUCGAUAAGAAAUAUUGAUCUUGCAGUAAAUAGUAUAAAAUUUUUUUUAUCAAAAUAUUAUCUGAUUUGAAUAUUUCUACAUUAUUAAACUUAUAAACGAUAUACAUCAACCUUUAAAAUUUGUUGAUUUUGAACUCUUUCAAUCGCUAGAUAAAUGAUAUCAAAAAAUUACAAAAUUUAUUUUCUAAAUAUUUCAAAUAUGAUAGAUCAAGUCUAACGGAACUGAUCGUCGAUUCGAAAGCUCCAUCAUCGAAAACGGUUUAGAAGCACAGAGACAUACGUACUUCUAAUAGGACACAAGACCUCCUCUCUCUCUAUAUUUAUAUAUAAAACAAAGCAGGCAUUAGUCCAAUAUCCAUGACAUCUGCAUUACGUUUGCAUUGGCUUUUCUCUGCUCUCUCUUGUGCUGUCACUUCUCCGGAUCUCAAUAGAGAGAGAGAGGGAGAGAGAGAGAGAGAGAGAGAGAGAGAGAGACUGGUUUGCUUUCCAAAUUCCAAUUGCUUUGUCCUGGGGACUUAGAGGAGCGCCUGGGGGCUUUGUCAUCAUCUGAGGAACUCUGAGGAGCUUCUCUUGUCUCUAUUAUUCCUCAGGUACUGGAUGUACUGAUACUAAGCAGAAAAGGCUCAGACACUGCUGCGUCAAUGGGCUCAUGCUUCUGAAAUCUUGGAGCUUCAUGUAGAAGUAGUCCUCGAAACUAUAGCAAAGCAUAUAUGUGUUAAGGGUAAGAGGAUCACGUUAACAUGAUUGUUUUGAGUGACAAAUGAUUGAACGGGGGGCUUCCACAUCCCACAGUUUCUGUGUUGUAUACUUGCAUGGUAGGAAAACUAGUGCCCCAUGAUGGCUAUUGGCUAACCGUUGUUGAGUCCAAGUCCAUCAUAAGGUGGUCAUUUGAGAGGUACGGAACAACUGUUUGGGAACAGAAGUUUUAGAGCUAUGUUGGUUGGAGCCCAGUACAGUUACAAAUGAGUUUUGUAAAUAGUAAAGCAAAAGGUAACAGCACUAGCUAGAUCAAACAAUUCAGUCCAAACAAUUAAUACAUCGAUCUGUAGAAUUAUAGCCCAAUUGGAAACAAUGAACCUUACAUGUGGAGAUAGACAUUGGAGUAAUUUUCGGUCUAUGAUAUGUAUACACUAGCGGAGGUGAUCUUCUAUGUAGCGGCGGCACUAUGUCACUUCGUCUCAAGCCAAUAAAAUUUCUUCUUUUAAGAAAAAUGUAUAUCAAAAUAUUUUCUUAAAAAUCAUGAUGAGAUGAGUGUCGCAACAUUGACGCUAAUCAUUAAGUCUAAAAUUACGAACGGUUAGAAAUAGGCAACAAAUUUACUUAAAAUACACAAAUAUAGCGCCAACGAAUUUCGAUUGUGAUUUGGUCCAAACAACCUUUCGCCACUUUUGAUAUAACUCAGCCCAAAGUGACCUCCCACCAUUUCGAACGUGAAUCGUUUCAACCUCAUGAUUUUCCGCCACAUAGCAAGAUGUUGACUCCUUUAAGCCAACAAUAACUAAAAACUUAGGGGCGCAAUUUGAUUGGUUAGGAAUAGAGAUGAUGUGGUGCCCCUAAUAUGUUUUAGAAUUUUUAGCAUAGAGGAUUAGACAAUCUAAUGCAUUACUAAUACAGUGUCGUUAAUUUGCAAGGCAAGAGCCAACUAUUUAUUGGCAACAAAUUAAUGGCCCAAAACCAUAGUUAGUUAAUUCGCGUUUAAUACGCGAAUUAUUCGCGAACUUUUGAAUACACGAAUUAAACGGACCGUUCCGUAUUUUUUUGAAAAGUUCGAAAAAAAACGCGUCUUCAUCCUCAAAAAUAAUUAUUCGCGAAUUAUUCGCGAUUCGGGAAUUAUUCGCCCAAAAAAACGGCUGUUGCGGUCCAGCCGAGGUUCGCAUCAUCGCCGCUCGUCGCCGAGCUCAUCCGGGUCGUCGUCCCCCUCCUCCGCCGCCCUGGCCGGCGCCGGGAGCAAGAGCUGCGACUGCAGAUCCGGCCUCAUCGUCCUCCUCCUCCGUCGCCAUGGCCGGCGCCGGGAGCAAGAGUGGCGGUGAUAGAUCCGCCCGAGGCCGUCCGCGGAAAAAAGAAGAGGAACAGUGCAAAAAUCGGAGCUUCUGGAUUCAUAAAUCAUACGCGGUCCACGAGGCCUCUUCUGCCUCGUGGACCGCUUGAGACCUCCCUCUCAUUACAUACACAAUUACACACACACACACACACACACACACAUAUCUAUAUAUAUAAAUAUACAAAUUUUAUUUUAUAAAUAUUUAUUUAAUAUAUAUAUAUAUUAUAUAAUAUAAUUUAUUUAUAUAAUAAUAUUUUAAUUUAUAAAAUUAUAAAUUUGUUUAUUAAUAUUUCUAAAUAUAAACUUUUAUAUAUUAUUAUAAAUGUUAUUAUAAUUUUUGAAUAUAUUUAAUCUAAUAUAAAAAUAUAAUAAUAAUUAUAUAGAUAUAUAUAUUUAUUAUAUUAUUAUAUAGCGAAUUUUUUAUUCCGAAUUUUAAUUGGUGAACGUAUAAUAUGCCGUAUAAUCACGUAUCCGAAUAAUUACCUGAAUCCGUUUUUAGCCGUAUUUUUUCAACGAAUUUAAAAAUUAAAGAGACAUUUAUCGAAUUAUACCUGUACCGAAUUUUUGCCGAAUCCGAAUUAACAACUAUGCCAAACCACACGAAAGGAAAAAUAUUUUUAAUUUUCCAUGACUACAAAAUACUCUAGUUUUAAAUAAUUUUACUCAACAAUACUACAUAUCUCCUCUUACAAAUUAUGAAGCUACAAGAUUAGAGAGAUGGUUAAGCAAUUAAUAAAUAUGGAUGGUUAAACCUUGAAAAGCCAACCGAAUCAUAUUAAGAGAGAGAGACAAGAUAGAGAAAAUAUCUGGGUCGGCGUUCACCGUGAGAUACAACUGCACCUUCUUCGUGGAUGUAAGAGGUGACGUCGAAAGGAUUAAUUAAGCGCAUUGAGUGAUCUUUUCCUCCUCCCGUUCCCCCCUCUCUAUUCAAUUCCCUUUUGCAUGGUACUCUAUGCCAUACUGGGGCCUCAUGACGCUCUCUCAGGAGCACACACCCACACCUACCCUCCCCCCCCCCCCCCCAACCAGACACAGAGAGAGAGAGAGGAGAGAGAGAGAGAGAGAGAGAGAGAGAGACGAGAGAGAAACAAGCUGCAGUGGCUGCGGGUGUGUAAUUAACCUGCUACGCCAAAAAACCAUUAGGCAUUAGCUCUUCUCCCGUCACCAUCACCCCUUCCCCCUCGUACGUACCACUCAUGCGCUUCUCCUCUAUCAUAGCUUCAUCAUCACAUGCAUCUCUAUUUUCUGAUUUGUUGUUUUAUGAAAAAAAAAAAAAAAACUUUGCAAUGUGGUGGUUUGGCUUUUGCUACCAGCUAUUCUAGCUACUUCUGCCCUUUUAUCGUAUACGUCAUAUCCUGCAUGCACGUACGUCAAACAUGAAUGUACUCUCGUACACUGUCGCACACGCACACAGAGAGAAGCGCUUAUGCUUUGGCCUCUGGGUGCAGUGAUACUUAGGUUUGCUAAUUAAAGGUUUUCUAUUUAACAGAUUAUAGUUUUAUCUGCCCCAUAAAAUCUAAAAAAUUGAGUUAUGGAACUGUUGAUUUUGAGACACAUUUACCGCUACUCUACACAUGCAUUAGCAACACAACAAAAAGACGAACUAAAGUUUCAUGAAGUUGGUACCUAGUUCAAGUGACAAAAAUCGUCCUUAGCGCAAGUGACAAAGAGUUUGGUGGUUGGUACUGAGGUCUCGAAUUCGAAUACUAAUUAAUUCACACUUUCAACUAAGUUUAUUUUUAAAUAAAAUAAAUAAAGCAGGUUGCAUAUAUAGUAUCUAUCUCACAAAAAAAAAAAAGUUUCAUGUAGUCGGAUUACUAAUUAUUCAUGCAUUAUUAAUACAACAUGACUGAAUAAUGGAAUGCUGGAAUGCAUUUUAAGAAAAGGUACCAAAUGAAAAUAAAAAGUUCAUUAUUAGCUUGGCUUUUACUUAAUCUUCCUAAGCUCAAUAAAAUUAAGGUGUGUAUAUAUUAACUCGCAUGUGCAAUGAAUAUAAAUCAUCCAAUUGAUCGAUACUGUAGAGGGCAAUGAAUAUAAAUCGCCCAAUUGAUCGAUACUGUAGAGGGCGAUCGAUCAGACAUUGAUGAGUAAGCAUGCAUGUAAUUAAAUUGACCAAUUAAUAUCAACUAAAGAUUCUUUAUAAGAAGAAUGUUUUGCUGCACUCUUAGGAUAGAUAAAUAAAAUGAGAAAGAGCUUUUAUGUGUAUGAGGCACCAGUUAGGAUAUUCCCUUUUGUGAUGUGCUCGGCUCGACUAUGCGUGUGUACAAAAUAAAGAAGUUCUUCUCAUUUUUAUUUUUUUUUUAUAUCUUUGGUUGUAAGUGUCGUUAUAUACCGCAGCUUAGGGACGGAUGAAGAGGGACGGAUCAACGUGGGGAUUCUCUUCUAAGCCUUGUGGCCUUAUGGGUCAAUAAGGUUGACCGAUGGGCCCCACCAUCUUCCUCGCACCUAGUUGAUCUAUCACAUCGCCCGUGAGGCCAAGUACGUACGAGAAAGAUUGUUCAUGGGAAAGAGAAAUGGUAAAUGGAACAUGCAAAACGUACGUGUAAAUUUUGAGAAAUGCUGGAUGCAUGCAUUCAUCCAGCAUUCCAAGUAUGUACCUUAUAAUAUUGUUGAUGGAUUACAAGGAUUUAUGUGCCUCGGCACAAGUUAAGCGUCAGAAAUUUACUAGUACAAUAUGGUACUGUGCAUGUCAGAUUGUGCCGAUGCGUGUCAUUCAAAAAAAUAAAAAGUAUGCCAAUAUAUAAUAACAUAAAAAAUUUAUUCUUUUAGCAAUAAAAUAUUAUAACUGUUUAUUAUAUAUGCUUGUCAAAAUUUUUGAACUUUAUGGAGAAAAUUAUUUACUAAUUUAAAAAAUAGAGAUUUUGAGUUGUGCCAUCUGUAUGGGUGCUAUAUCGUACCGAUAUUUUAUUUGCACAGUAAAUACGGUCUAUACCGAUUGGCAUUUAAAUUCUUGAUGGAUUGGAAUGCAUAUGUGAAGUGUUUAGAGUUUAUAAUUUAAGGUGCAAUUAAUAAUAGUACUAAGGAUUUUGCAAUGGUAUUUGGAAUUUACUAAUUAAUGAUGUUUAGAGUAUAAUAAUAAUGACAACAUGUCAUUUAUAACAUUGCCGGGAACUCUAAUGGGGUACUUAUAGCAAUGGUCAAAUUUUAUAUACUUUUAUCCAUUACUCUAGAUAUUUCUUAAAAUUUUUAUAUUAAAAAAAUAGUAUAAAAAAUAGUUGAAAUGUACAAAUAAUAUUGCUCUGAAAUACCUCCAAAGUGAAUGAUUUUUUGAAAGAUCUCCGCAUGCAUAAUUUGAUUGAAUAAUAUAUUUUAUUUACGAUGUAAUUUAUAUUACUAUCAAAAAAUAAUUUAUGGAUUGAAUAUGAUAUUUUCCUUUAGAUAUUUUAUCACACUAAUUAUCUACCAUAUGACUUUUUUAAUUAAAUCAAAGAGAAGGUACAAUAAAAUAUUCAUAUUUUCAAAUUAAGAGAUCUUAAAUCUCUUUUUAAUUUCUAUUAGGGUGCUUUUGGUUCGCGCUAUCUUUUAAAGAUUCCUAGUAAUUCAAUGGGAAUAAAAAAAUAUGACGGUGUUUGGCUAAACGCACUAAGUAAUAUAGUUGGUAAUAUUGAAUUCACUUGGGAAUAUGAUUCACCCCAAAGUACUAAUCUCAUUCUCUUGAGGGAGGGUGGGUAUCCUCAUAUUAAUGGAUUGGGAAAAUAAUAAUAUGUCUAAUUUUUUUCUUUCUUCCUACCCGCCGGCUAAUUGAUAUUAUUUUUCGUUACACUCUAACCUUAUAUCUCUCUCUAAACUUAUUUUUCUCUCUAAAAUUCAACUUUUUUGCUCUCUCUAAACUAAGCUUUCUCUCUCUCUCUCUUUCUAAAAUUUCAACUCUCUCACUCCCUCUAAUUUCGACUAUGUUUUUCUAUCUAUUUUUUUAAUUAUGCUCUCUCUCUCUAACUUAUACUCUCUCUUCCUUUUUUUCUAAAAAGAUGUUGAAACUUUUGGUAACAUUAUCUAAAAUUAAUUACAUAAAUAAAUUAAUUAAUUAUAUAUUUUUUGUAAUAUUAAAUAACAUGACUAAUUAAUAUUACCAUGCGAACCAAACAUAGGAAUUCCAUAUUCUUAGUAAUAGAAUGAAUAGGAAUAAGAUUCUCGGAUAUUUUUUAUUUCUAGUAAUCUUUCAUAAUGCGAACCAAACGCACCCUUAGAGUCAACUAAUAUAAUGGUGUAAAUAUUUCAUCCUAACCUUUUCAUGGCUAGGAUGCCCUUACUUGUCUUAUCAUUUUUUUUUUUAUUAUUUUCUGUUAGUAAAACCAUAAUAGAACUUCUAGGAUUUAAAGUGUGUAAGAUAUACAUCUUAUGUGGGGUGUGCAUGCAAUAAUUUUGCUUCCUCUUUAUUGCAAAUUGGCCCACGAUGAAUGAAGCUGAUUUGGUAGGAAAUAAAACAAAAGCCCAUGUUUGCUUUUGUACAAAGGAUCCUCGGACCGCAUGGGUCCCAUGAAAUCUAUUAUUUGAUUUGAGUUUUUUGUAGUUUUUUUAUUUUAAUUAGAUGUAUCAUUUAUCUGAGGUUCAUGAUUACUUUACAACAAUUAUUUUAUUAUUUCUUUCUGCAUUUUAGAAGAAUAAGUUUUAAACUCAAUUUUCCAACAUUGAGAUGGAAAGCUCAUUUGUAAUUCACCAUUAAUAUACCCUACAUUCUUGAGGCCUCCGUUGCUUUAUUUAUCUUGCCAAGUUCAUAUUACUUUAUGAAUAAAGCAGAUAGUCUAUUAUUUUUUUCUUAAAAAAAAAUUAUCAUCGCCAGUCCCUCUGCAAAAUUAUUUGAUGAUAUUUGCUAACAUAGCAUGAUUUUCUCGUGCAAUCUUUUUUAUGAAUCUUAAAAUAUUUUUUUUUUUAGAGAUAAAAAGUAUGCUAUACGCUUCGUUUAUUUCAUUUAUAAAUAAACUCAGCUAGAAAUGUAAAUCAACUAGAAAUCGAACUUGGAACAUCGAGUAUCAACCACCGAGCUCUUUGCCACUUGCGCUAGGGACCGUCGGUAUGGAUCUUAAAAAGUUAGAUUCAUUUUCUUU
rnacentral:lncRNA from 1 species